rnacentral:lncRNA from 1 species
CAAUUUGCUUCAAGUCAAGUUGAAGGAGAAGCUGGCUGGGAAAAAGUUUUUGCUUGUCUUGGAUGAUAUCUGGAACGAGAAUUAUCUGGAGCUGACCAACCUACUCUCUCCAUUCAGAGUUGGAACCAAAAUUCUCAUUACAACACGGAGUCACAAUGUUUCUUCUAUUAUGGGCACUGUUAAAGCUUACCCGCUACAAAAGUUAUCACAGGAAAAUUGUCUAUCUGUAUUUACUCAACAUGCAUUAAGGGCAAAUGAUUUUAGUGGGCAUCCUGAAUUAAAAGAAGUUGGGGAAAUUAUAGUGAAAAAGUGUAAAGGCUUACCUUUGGCUGCUAAAGCCAUUGGUGGUUUACUACGCACUAGCCUGUACUAUGAGGCAUGGAAAGGUAUAUCAGAAAGCGAGAUAUGGGGCAUACCAGAAGAGGAAUGUGGCAUAAUUCCAGCUCUACGUUUGAGCUACCAUCAUCUUCCUUCACAUUUGAAGCGAUGCUUUGCAUAUUGCUCUAUACUCCAUAAAGAUUAUGAAUUCGGGGAGGAGGAAAUAAUCCUGUUAUGGAAAGCAGAAGGUUUUCUACAACCAGCAAGCCUUGGAACUCAACUCGAAGUUCUAGGUAGUCAAUAUUUUCGAGAUCUAGUCUCAAGGUCAUUUUUUCAAGCAUCUACUAGGAACAAAUCUCGAUUCAUAAUGCAUGAUCUUGUCAAUGAUCUAGCUCAAUCGGUUGCAGGGGAAAUAUGCUCCAAAUUGGAGGAUGAUAAACAGUUGAGAUUUUCGAAAGGUACUCGACAUUCAUCUUAUGUUCGUGGUCGUUAUGAUGGAAUGAAAAAGUUUGAAGCCUUAAAUCAAACAAAGCAUUUACGAACCUUUCUACAGUUUCCUGGAUCGUCAUGGGCACCUGAAGGUGAUUGUUAUUUAAGUAAGAAUGUCCUGGUUGAUUUACUGCCCAAACUUAGAUGCUUAAGAGUUCUUUCUUUGAAAGGGUAUCGCAUCAUUGAGUUACCAAACUUUUUUCAUAACUUAAUGCAUUUGCGCUACUUGGACUUUUCUCAUACUACAAUUAAAAGUUUGCCUGAUUCAAUACACAUCCUUUAUAAUUUAGAAACUUUACUAUUAUGUGGUUGUAGAUUGCUUGAAAAUCUACCUUCAAAUUUACAAAUUCUAGUCAACUUACGUGUUCUCGACAUCACUAAUACACCUUCAAUGAAAGGGAUGCCAUUUGGAGUUGGUAACUUAACCAAUCUUCGAAGACUAUCUGAUUUUGUUUUGGGCAAAGGUGAUGGACAUCAUAUACAAGAGAUGAAGAAUUUGUUAAAUCUGAAGGGUAAGCUUUGUAUCUCAGGGUUAGAGAACAUUGUUAAUGCUCAAGAUGCAUGGGAGGCUAAGUUAAUAUAUAAGUCAGGCCUUCGCACAUUAGAACUAAAGUGGAGUAGAGAAUUUGAUAGUAAUAGAAAUAAAGAAGUUGAAGAAGAGGUCUUGAAUUUGCUUGAACCUCAUAAAAAGCUUGAAGAGCUCUUCAUUCAGGAUUAUGGUGGUACAAAAUUUCCGAUUUGGAUGAAUUCUUCAUUACAAAAUUUGCCGUCUUUGGUUCUCAAGGGCUGUAAAAAUUGCGUAUCACUACCAUCAAUUGGAAAAUUACCAUUGUUGAAGAAUCUUUCUAUUGCUGGAAUGGAUGAGUUAAAAAAGGUUGGCAUUGAGUUCUAUGGGGAGAAUCACUCAAAUGCAUUUGCUUUGUUACAGAGUUUGAGCUUUGAGAAUAUGCCACGAUGGAAGGAAUGGGACUUAGUUGAUGAGCAAGUUGAGAAAUUCCCUAGCCUCAUCGAGCUUUCCAUCAAAAACUGCCCUCAAUUGUUGGGAAGGUUGCCUAACCAUCUUCGUUCCUUGGAGAAGCUUGAAAUUCGUGACUGUGCACAAAUGGUGGUUUCACUUUCAGACCUUCCAAAGCUGUCUCAAUUACAAAUAGAUAGGUGUGCAGAGUUGGUGCUUAAAGAUGAUGCAGACUUUUGCUCAAUAAAAAAAAUCCAUCUUUCAAACGUUGGAAAGUUUUCUACUCCAACAGAAAGGCUGGUAUCAACAUCAACAACAUUGGAGCAUUGUGAGAUUUCUGAUUGUGAGGGAUUGACAUAUUUAUCGCUAAAGAAGUUGGGACUGUUGGGAUCUGUCCGUAAAUUGGAAAUUUAUAAUUGUCCACACCUUCUGUUUUUAGAGCCAGAUGAGGUAGAGGAGGCAGAGGAGGAGCUGUUUCAAGUUGGGAAUCUUUGCAAUAUCGAAUCUUUGAUAAUAUGGCAAAUUGGUCUUAAUAUGGAAUCUUUGAGAAUAAGAAAGCAUUUUCUCCCAUUUCUUACAGAGAUGAAUAUUCAAAACUGCCCAAACAUAGUUUGUUUUGCAAAGAACAACUUUCCCCCACUUCUGAAAAAGUUAGAGAUUGUAAAUUGCGAGAAUUUGCGGUGUUUGGUGGAUGAAGGAGAAAAUAUAAGCAUCGGUAACAUAUCUUCUCUUGAGCUUUUGGAUAUUGAUGGCUGUCCAUCUCUAAUAUCAUUAUCAUUACCUGUUAGGCUUCGACAUCUUAUACUUAUGAGUUGCUCAAAGCUAGCUUCCUUAUCAGAAAGUGGCAAGUUACCCAUAGGGCUUAAACAGCUUGACCUUUCUUUCUGCCCAGAGCUCAAAUCCAUUGCAGAAGUAAUUGAUGAAAAUGCUUGUCUUGAAUCUAUUAGCUUCUUCAGUUGUGGUAUUAAAUCUUUACCGCAAGGAUUAGACAAGCUCAACCAUCUUCGGAGUAUUGAAAUAAUGAGAUGUUCAAAUCUAGUCUCGUUGGAAGGGGUUUUACCCACCACCAAUUUGACUGAGCUUUCUAUCUCCAACUGUGAAAAUUUGCCAGCCCUGCCCAAUUGCAUGCACGGCCUCACCUCUCUUCGAGAAUUACAGGUUGAGAAUGAUUCAGGUGAUCAGAUAUCCAUUCCAGAAGAGGGUAUCUCUACCAACCUAACAUCACUUUCCAUCUCAAUACCAAGAAAUUAUGAGUCUCUACUUGAAAGAGGAUUGCAUAGACUCCCCUCUCUUAAAACACUUUGUAUUUCUGGUGAAGGAUGUCCGAAUAUGGUGUUGUUUCCACCAGAGGAGAUAGGAAUGAUGCUGCCUCCCUCUCUCACCCAUUUGAGCAUUGAAAAUUUUGAAAAUUUGAAAUGCCUAUCCUCCAAAGGCUUUCAAAACCUCACCUCUUUUCAUCAUUUGUCCAUCUUCUCUUGCCCUAAGCUCACAUCUCUUCCUGAAAAAGACAUUCUUAACUCGCUUUUGCAGUUAUUCAUUUGUGCUUGUCCAUUGCUAAAGGAAGAGUGCACAAGGGACAAAGGACGAGAGUGGUCCAAAAUAGCCCACAUACCUCGUGUUCAAAUUUUUGAUUUCUUACCCUUUUUUUGACACCCAAAGGAGUUGAAUUGAAACUUGACUGUAAACUCUGAAAAAAAAAAAAAGAGUUGGCUGUGACAAUCACAGGUAUGAAACCAUUGAAACGUAUGGCAAUUUAGAAGCUUCUCAUUUUUAACUACAAAAUGAAGCUAAUUAUAAUAUUUUUUUUUCAUCAUUGAUUAUUUUCAGGCAAUUCAAAAGCUUUAGAAGGUAACAUGGUGAGAAACUGGGCUUCUCACUUUUUCAUCUAUAAUGGCAGAAUCAAUGUGUAAAGUUUAAUGGUUGGUUAGUAAACUCAUGCUCAUACAACUUCAGCAGUCUACCUGGCAUUUCAAAAGAUCAUUUCAUGGAAAGGGUGGACUCAACUCUGUUUUUCUUGGGCCUCGUAUGUUGAUUUCUUCCUUUUUCAUGCCUAUGAAAGUGCUGCAGAGGUUGAUGAAUGGAGCGGUCCGUUAAUUCUCUGCAACUUUUGGCUACAUUUUUAGUGUUUGAUAAUCAUUUGAUAUUCUAAUAAAAUACUAUUGAGUUUUCUUCAUUUCUAUUAUGAUGCAUUAGGUGCAUUUUUUACAAAUUCAAAGUCUGCCAAUUCUACUUUACUUGACUAUACCUGGAUUACAUCCUUCAUUUUAUUCUUUUAAUUUCGCAUCAUUCUUAUUUGGUCUUUGUGUGACAAUUUCUCAUACUUCAAUCUAUCUUACUUUUCUUAAUUUUUUGGAGAAACUGCUUUAUAAAGAAAAGAAAAGAAAAGAAAAGAGAGGAAAGGAAUAUAAGAUUGCAUAUAUGAAGGUUAGAUGCUCCAUUGAAUUCAUUAAGAAACUUUAAUCUUCUGUUAGAUUUCCAUUACUACUUUGGAUCUCCAAUAGACUAACAUAUUUUAGCCCUUCAUUGAUUGUACUUUUUAGUUUCAACAGUAUAUAAGAGAUGAGCAAUGUUGCUUAUUUUAUGUGCCUUGCUUGUUCUCAGGUAUUUACCGAUCUGCAAUUGCCUUAAUUCUGCAAUCCAUCUGAAAAGUACUCAAACUCACUUUUCCAACUAUCCAUUGCUAACUGUCCUCUAGUAAGUAAACAGUGCAAAAAGGGAUAAAGGAUGGAGCAGUUGAAGAUAGCUUGCAUGUCUUAUGCUUGCAUGAAUGACAGAUUACUCAUUAUCUGGGCAGAAAAGGAAAAAGGUUUUAGAUCUCAUAAGGAAACUUGGAUAAAUCAGUGAAAGAUAUAUCACAUCUCAUUCAGGUUUUAACACAAGGUAUGUAAAUAAGAAAAUUUCUUUUAUCUUUUUUUUUUAAAAGAAAUCCAAAUAAUUGAUUAAAUUUUGAAUGAUAACAAAGUGUUCAUUGAAUUGUACAUGCAGAAACCUGAACAAGAAUAUGAAGAAGGGAAGAAUGAAUUCUGGCCUCCAAAGGUAAUUUGAUGACCUAAUAAUAUAUGGUGAGAUGUCAUUAGGUAACAAUGAAACAAUCCCUCUUAAUUAAACCAUGUUAUGUAUAUGUUUGAAAAGAUGGAGGUGGAACUCUCUCUAACCGUCAUUCUCAACUUUCAGAUAAUCUAGGUACUUUGGGAUGCGUUUGGUGCAAAAGAUGAUGGACAGGAUAUGAUAAAAAUCAUUCUAUCCCUUGUUUGAUGUGCACUUCAAAAAGAAGGAUUGGAUUACAAAUAGAAAUUUUAGUACUGGUGAAGUGGUAAUCGUCGCAUGCUAGCGAAAAUCAAAACUUUACCUGACUUCAUAUGCACCCUUUGCAAUUUAGAGACCUUGCUGUUAAAGCGAUGUCACGAGUUAGAAAAGUUAACCUGAGAAAUAGAAAUUCUAGUCAAAUUGCAUCAUCUAGACAUUACAAGUCAUACAAAUUCAGCGAAAAGCAAUGACCUUUGGAACUGGUAGAGUAACAAUGGAUAUAGUCAAUCUUUCAAAUAUUUAAAAAUUUUGUACUCUAACAGAGAGGCUGUUGUCACGAUUUGGAAAAUAGGAAUAUUUGAUGGUUGAUAGUUGCAAGGAAUGGACAUGUUUAAUUGCAAAAGGAAUUGGGAUCCCUUGGGAGCCUAAUGUUUCUCCCUUGGCUGAGAGUUUUGAAUUGUUCACAAGUUGUACUUGUAUCGUUAAAGACAGAGGAAGCAGAAGAGGAGCAUUUGCAACUUGACAGGCUUUGCGAGUUUCAAUGUCUAACAAUUACGAAAUGUGAACAACUUCAAAGGCCACCAAAGGUCUUGGAUUUGGUCAUGUUCCUUGCAGAUAUACAGAUUGCCAAUGCCCAAGCAUGGUUUCUGUUUUAACUAAUAACCUGCUUCUGCCUUGAAGAAGAUUGAGAAUUGAAGAUUGCGAGAAUUAACAAUGUUUGGUGGAUGAAGAAGAAGAUGCUAGCACAACUUCACCUCUCUUAAGGCAGUGACGUUUGUUGGCUGUUCAGCUGACAUUUCCUUUCCUAUUCUACGGCGUCUCCAUGGCUAUUAAGAUAUGAGGCUGGCUUUAAUGAGAAAAGGUGGUGGCUGGAUGAGAUUAGUUUUCUUUGUAAGCUUUGUUCUCUGCAUUGGCUUAGAGCUUUGGCUGAUGUCAUCUUGUUUUCAGGCUAAGAUUCUGUGGCCUGCUUCCCUUUCUUCACCAGUAACGUCUCUAAAGGCCUGCUGGCUGCGGUUGAGUGUUAAGAGAUUCCUCUGGCUCUAUUCUAGCUUUGCUUUCUGGCCAAAUUGGUGUGUUAGACUAAUGUUGCUGAAAUAAAAUACUAUAUUUGCUUCGGAAAUAUUCUCUAAAACAUAUUGGAAAGGGAAAAAGGUGCUGGUGGUUGGAUCAGAUUCGACAGUAGCUGUGCAAUUUUUUUUUGUUUUUUUUGUUAAGCCAUCAGAAGCUUUCAUUAAAACAAUGUAAGAUUACAGAUGGUCAAAAAUCAAGACUAGCAAGUAAAAACCCCCUUACAUAAGAACAGAAAGCUCUUAGAAGCACCUAGAAAAACAUCAAAUCAUUUUGUCUUGAAGCCAAUUCAGCGAAUCAUCUCUCAUGGUAUGUGUAAUGUACCAUGGCAUUGCAGAACUUGGGACAUCUUCCACAGGAUGCUUCCACUGCUACUGAUUAACCUUCAAUGUUCAUUCCUGAUAAGCGCUGGAGAUGGUGGGUUCUAGUAGUGCUCAGCAUCGCCUUUCUCUUGCUUGGUCAAUCCAAACAGGUAAAUUCUAUUUCAAUCAUGUUAUAAUAUACGCUUUAACUUAAUCGAUAACAGAAUCAACUAUGUUAUAAAAUUUGUAGAAAUGGAUUAAUAUUGUAUUUCGACGAGAUUACGAUUUUAUCUUAAUAGGUUUUUAUUUCGAUUAAACUCCAAUUUAUUUCAAAUCAGAGUUUUUACAGAAAAUUUUAAAUGAAUGCCUCUUGAAUUAUGAUGAAACUAAUUACUAAGUGAUUGAUACGAUGAAGUAGCAAUUUCUUUUUCUUCUUUCUUUUUCAUUUUUAUUGUGUGAUUUCACGUUUUAAUAACUUGCAUUUAUUAAAGGAAUUUUUUAUUUGAAAAAAAGUUUGAGAUGUAAACCUGAUACAUUGAAUCGAGUGCUUAGAUAUUAUUAAGGGGGCAUUUCAUUGAGACCAUGUGAGCACUGCUACAUAUCUAUAGUUGUCAUCUAAUGGAUUAAAUUUGGUUCAAUUUUAUCACUUUACUUGAUAAUAGUAAGCCAAAGGAAAAAUAAGUAAAUUCAUCACUUUACUAAGUAUAAUGGAUCACAUUUAUCACUAGUUAUUGAACAGAAAUGAUUUGAUCUCCAUAUUUUUUAAUUGAUCUAAAAAAUUGUCAAUAAUUAAUGGUAAAAGGAUAUUUCAAUAAAAAAUAAAGUAAUAUUUUAAUUUUGAGUAUUUUUAAACUAAAUUUAAAAAUAUUGAUAAAAUUUUAUUUGUUUAAAUAUGAAUAGUAAUUGUGAGCAAAAAUCUAUUAAUUACUCACUGGAAUUACAAAUGUGGUAGUCUAUAGAACAUAAAUAUAAAAAUUGUAUCAUUCGCUAACAUCAUAAUGUUUUGGAUGAUGCAAAUGUUUUAAACACUUGCCAACACAUUUAUUAAGCAUUUAUACACAAUAAGCAUUAUUAACACUUGUAUAAAACCACCAAGUGUUUAACAAAGGAUUAACGUUAACAUGCAAAGCUUACACGUUUAUAAACAUCAAGAGCAGCAUAGGUUCUGGUUUACUAAACUAGUACAACAGAGCAAAAUGGAACACACGACCAAUACAUAAUUCUAAAAGCACCCCAAAAUAUAAUUCAAGCUAGUUUUUUAUCUCAACAAUAAUAUACGUAAUCUAUUCAUUAUAUCAUAAGUCCAGGAAGAGCCAUGUCUAAAAUGUAAACCACAACACUCUUUUGAUGAUGGCAGGUUCAUUUACUCACAGAGAUAGGGCGUGCCUCUUUUACCUGAACACUGUUUAGGACUCUGGUGUCAAGAAGUUGAGGAGGAUUGCAAUUAAUCAUGUUCUAUAUUUAUGUAAAUGUUCCUACAGUUCCGGUGCAAGUUACUUUCUCCCAUGAUGCUAUCUUGGUCUCAUCCACUUUGCAUCAAAUUCCUCUUGCAAUGCUUGUGAGCCUUUUCUGGAUUACUCUGGUGGUUUGCUUUCUGUAUAUUCUGCUGCCUCUCCAUGGCUAGUAAGAUAUGAGGCUGGCUUUAAUGAGAAAAGUGGUGAGUGUGUGAAGAUUAUUUUUCUUCGUAUCUCUGCAUUGGUUUAGAGCUUUGGCUGAUGGCGUCUUUGUUUUUGGGCUAGGAUUCUGUGGCUUUAAGGAGACUUGGUGAAGUCUUUGAAGCAUGUUGCCCUGUCAAAUUUAUCACCUGUUGAUUGUCAGUGGCAUCCAGAAGAAAUGAAUGGUUAUUUAUCACCUGUGCAAAACAGCUGGAUUUCCAGUUCUCUUUCUCUCAAUUGUAUUUUUCACUUCCCCUAAAAAGUUGCCCAGUACCUGCAACAACACAAGCCAGCCUUCACUUUUCUUGUCUUCGGUAGGCCUUUGGUUUCUUCUUGUAGAUACUAGAUUUUGGUUAAUACUGUUACUCUAAAGAAUUAUGUUACAACAUAAUAUUAUAUAGAGAACAACCAGAACAAGUGAAGUGUUACUUCACGCAGAAUAACUAGAACAAGUGAAGCGUUACUUCACGCAGAACAAGUGAAGCGCUACUUCACGCAGAACAAGUGAAGCGCUACUUCAAGUAUUACUUAAAGCAGAACAAUUAGAAAAAGUAAAGUAUUACUCCAUAUAGAAUAACUAAUACAAGUAGAACAACCACUUUGAAUAGAAUAACUGUUUCACUUGGAUGACAGUGAAAGUAACUCAGAAUAAGUGACAGGGUUCAUGGGUUACUUUCAUCUUGGGAUGUUUCAGAGAGUUUGGCUUGGUGGCUGAGAUAUGGAGGUAGUUAAGAGGUCUUCCUCUUAACCCUUUCCUGAAGUACAAGUGUUUCACCCUCUUAUCUUGUUCUCGUAUACUUAUUCAUGUACAGCUUAUUCUCUUGUACCUAUUCUCAUACAGCUUCUUCUCUCGUACCUAUUCUUGUACACCUCUUUUCUAUUACCUUUACUUGAGAACAAGUCUUACUACAUUCAAUUACAGUAACGGUUACUUACAUUAAUAUUCUUCAUAAUAAUGUCAUUCAUUAGGCGCAUUAAAGCCUAUUCUUAUGUAACCGUCACUUUUAACACUAUAUAUAGAGCCUCACAAUUCAUUUGAAAGGACUCUUCUUUCCCUCUCCAAGUUAACACAUUCUCAACUUGAGAGCUUCUCUCUCUAAAUUCUCUCUCUAAUUAUCUUGUACUCUCUAAGUCUCUUUAAUUCUUUUCUUAUUGUCUUCCACCUGUCACAGCACUUAGUACUUCAGGAACUGCUUCAAUCUUCCUCUCUGCCUCCUCUGGCACAUCCUUUUACUUGUUUGCAACACUUCCUCUCCCUAUCACAAGAAACCCUGAUUACACUUCUUAUUUCAACUUUUUGUUCAUUCAUAGCUUCUAUGGAAUGUACCUACAAGCUUCUUAUUACAACUUGUCCUGCAAAUUUUAAUUUAGAAUUUCAAUGAAUGAUGUCUCUUAUUCACAAAGUCAAAUUCAAACUUCUUUCCCAAAAUAAAAUAUACAUCUUUUUAAAAGUUGCAUCUGCCGAGUCAAUUAUCAUGUUAUCAUAUUGCUUUAAUAAUCACGAAGAAACCUGCAAUUGCUAAUUUGAUUUUCUGGUGCUUAUUUUGAUUUCAGCCUUUCAGGAAUUUUUUUGCAUUUUCCAUUGCCAAUUGAGUAUUCACUAGGUUUGCUUUGGUUAAGGCCAAAAGAGGUAGAGAAUUCCUGCAAUGUGCAACAAGCUGUCAGUUCUAUUACAGAAGACAAGUAUGGUUGAUUUGAUGGCAAACAUCAUUACUGGGAGAGACUCAUCAAAAAGAUAAAAUUUGGAAUUAGUUUUUUCAUGAAUAAGUUAUAAUGUUAGAGAUGCUCUCUUUUUUCUGUCUCCUUCCCUAAGACAACAAUGUCCUUCCACAAUAACUUGCUGUUCUUUUAAUUUCUUCUAAAGUAAGCACUUGGCAAAAAAUAUUACAAUUGGGUAUCUUCUACAUUCUCAUUUGUUAUUUCUUUUUUUGGAUUAUUAUUCAUGUAUUGGAUAAUAUUAUUUUUUUAAUAUUAUAAUUAAGUUUUAAUGGAUGAAAGGUAUUCAUUUAGGUAUAUUUUUUAAAAAUAAUAAAUUAUUUAAUUAUUCAAUAAACAUAUAAAAAUAGUUUAAACUCACUCAUUACGUUAAAAACUUCAUUAUCGGUAAAUAAAUAAUAAUAAUCUAUUUCUUCCUAAAACCAAACAAACUCGUUACUUUAUUUCUUUCCUUUCGUUUUAUUUUUAAUAUAGUUUUAUACUCGCAAAUUUGAACACAUUUUUUCAGGUAAUUAAAUUUAUUUAUCAUAUAAAUAAUUUGAAAACAUUUUUUGUUAGAAACUAAAUAAAAUAUUAGUUAUUUUAUUCUAGAACUUUGCAAAAGAAAGCUUUAAGAACAAUCUUUAAGAUUAGAAAACAAAAAACCAUCAUGUUAACAUAAAUAUCACUUUAAAAAGUGUGCUUAGAACAUUUAUUUAUUGCGCAUGGAAUUUGCUAUCGGUCACUCAUUGCUUUGUCCUUGUCUUUUCCCAGCAGUUGCCUCUGGCCUUCAACACCACAUACAGUCCAUCCAUGAAUCAGAAUUCCACGGCUGCAAGUCAAUACCCAACUCAAUUAUUAAGCGAUCCUCACUAACUUCUCUAACUUUCAUGCAACAAAAAUACGUCUCUUUUCCGCAUACUUCAAUCUCCAUUUUUUAUUUCUCUCUUUCUUUCUUGAGCAAAACAAUCAUGUCUGUUGUUGGGGAAGCUGCUCUCACAGCUUUCUUUGAUGGGUUGUUUGGCAAGUUAUCCUCUUCUGAUUUCCUCGACUUUGUCACUGACAAGCAGGUCUUCGAGGAGAUCAACAAGUGGGAAAAGAUGCUGCGGGAUAUCCGUGCCGUGCUUGAUGAUGCAGAGGGGAAGCAGAUGAAGGAUCAGUAUGUGAAGAACUGGUUGGCCGAUCUUCAAGACUUGGCUUACGAUGUUGAUGACAUUUUGGACGAGUUUGCCACUGAAGCUUUGGGGCGCAAGUUGACAUCCUUGGAGGAACCUCAAGGCAUCAAAAAUAAGGUACAAAAGAUCAUUCAUACUUGUUUCUCUUCAAAAACUUUCAUGUUUAAUAAGAAGAUCCUGUCCAAGAUUAAAGAGAUCAGUGCUAGAAUGAAUGAUUUGGCCACAAAAAGAACUCAAUUGGAAUUGCUAGGCAUUAAUGAGGGAGCAAGGUCCAACAGAAUGAUACAAAGGCUUCAGCCUACUUCUUUGGUGGAUGAAACUCAGGUCUACGGUAGGCAAGAAGAAAAGGCAGCAUUACUUGAAUUGCUUCUGAGCAAUGAUGGUACUGAAAAUGAAGUUUCUGUGAUUCCUAUCGUUGGCAUGGGAGGAAUUGGCAAGACAACUCUUGCACAACUUGUCUACAAUGAUACUAGUAUACAAAAUUCUUUCCAUGACAAGGCGUGGGUAUGCGUUUCUGAUGAUUUUGAUGCUGUUAUGAUAACGAAGACAAUUCUACAAUCAAUUGCUCCUGAUUCUUGUACCAAUAUUAGUGAUUUCAAUUCGCUUCAAGUCAAGUUGAAGAAGAAGCUGGCUGGGAAAAAGUUUUUGCUUGUCUUGGAUGAUAUCUGGAACGAGAAUUAUCUGGAGCUGACCAACCUACUCUCUCCAUUCGGAGUUGGAACCAAAAUUCUCAUUACAACACGGAGUCACAAUGUUUCUUCUAUUAUGGGCACUGUUAAAGCUUACCCACUACAACAGUUAUCACGGGAGGAUUGUCUAUCUGUAUUUACUCAACAUGCAUUAAGAGCAAAUGAUUUUAGUGGGCGUCCUGAAUUAAAAGAAGUUGGGGAAAUUAUAGUGAAAAAGUGCAACGGCUUACCUUUGGCAGCUAAAGCCAUCGGCGGUUUACUACGCACUAGCCUGGACUAUGAGGCAUGGAAAGGUAUAUCAGAGAGCGAGAUAUGGGGCAUACCAGAAGAGAAAUGUGGCAUAAUUCCAGCUCUACGAUUGAGCUAUCAUCAUCUUCCGUCACAUUUGAAGCGAUGCUUUGCAUAUUGCUCUAUACUCCAUAAGGAUUAUGAAUUCGGAGAGGAGGAAAUAAUCUUGUUAUGGAAAGCAGAAGGUUUUCUACAACCAGCAAGCCCUGGAACUCAACUCGAAGUUCUAGGUAGUCAAUAUUUUCGAGAUCUAGUCUCAAGGUCAUUUUUUCAAACAUCUACUAGGAACAAGUCUCGAUUUGUAAUGCAUGAUCUUGUCAAUGAUCUGGCUCAAUCGGUUGCAGGGGAAAUAUGCUUCAAAUUGGAGGAUGAUAAACAGUUGAGAUUUUCGGAAGGUACUCGACAUUCAUCUUAUGUUCUUGGUUUGUUUGAUGGAAUGAAAAAGUUUGAAGCCUUCGAUCAAACAAAGCAUUUACGAACCUUUCUACCGUUGUUUGGAUCGUCGUGGCCACCUAAAGGAUAUUAUUGUUAUCUAAGUAACAAUGUCCUCGUUGAUUUGCUGCCCAAACUUCGGUGCUUAAGAGUUCUUUCUUUGAAAGGGUAUUGCAUCAUUGAGUUACCAAACUUUUUUCAAAACUUAAUACAUUUGCGCUACUUGGAUUUUUCUAAUACUAGAAUUAAAAGUUUGCCUGAUUCAGUCUGCACCCUUUAUAAUUUAGAAACUUUACUAUUACAUGGGUGUGAAUUACUUGAAAAUCUACCCUCAAACUUACAAAUUCUAGUCAACUUGCAUGUUCUGGACAUCAGUUAUACGUAUUCAAUGAAAGGGAUGCCAUUUGGAAUUGGUAACUUAACCAAUCUUCGAAGACUAUCUGAUUUUGUUUUGGGCAGAGGUGAUGGACAUCAUAUACAAGAGAUGAAGAAUUUGUUAAAUCUGAAGGGUAAGCUUUGUAUCUCAGGGUUAGAGAACAUUGUUAAUGCUCAAGAUGCAUGGGAGGCUAAGUUAAUAUAUAAGUCAGGCCUUGGCACAUUAGAACUAAAGUGGAGUAGAGAAUUUGAUAAUAAUAGAAAUAAAGAAAUUGAAGAAGAAGUGUUGAAUUUGCUUGAACCCCACAAAAAGCUUGAAGAGCUCUUCAUUCAGGAUUAUGGUGGUACAAAAUUUCCGAUUUGGAUGAGUUCUUCAUUACAAAAUUUGUCGUCUUUGGUUCUCAAGGGCUGUAAAACUUGUGUGUCACUGCCAUCACUUGGAAAAUUACCGUUACUGAAGAAUCUUUGUAUUGUUGGAAUGGAUGAGUUAAAUAAGGUUGGCAUUGAGUUCUACGGGGAGAAUCAAUCAAAUGCAUUUGCUUCGUUACAGAGUUUGAGCUUUCGAAAUAUGCCAAGAUGGAAGGAAUGGGACUUGGUUGAUGAGCAAGUUGUGAAAUUCCCUAGCCUCGUCGAGCUUUCCAUCAGUGACUGCCCUCAAUUGUUGGGAACGUUGCCUAAUCGUCUUCAUUCCUUAAAGAAGCUCGCAAUUAGGACGUGUAGACAAUUGGUGGUUUCACUUUCAGACCUUCCAAAGCUGUCUGAAUUAGAAAUACAUGAGUGUGCAGAGUUGGUGCUUAGAGAUGAUGUAGAUUUUCCCUCAAUAAAAAAAGUCCAUCUUUCAUGUGUUGUAAAGUUUUCUACUCCAACGGAAAGGCUAAAGGAGUUGGGAGUAAUUGGACAUCUAAGGUCUGGAUCUCUCCGUGAAUUGGGAAUUUCAAAUUGUCCACAACUCGUGUUGUUAGAGGCAGAUGAGGUAGAGGAGGCAGAAGUGGAGCUGUUGAAAGUUGGGAAUCUUUGCAAUAUUGAAUCUUUGAGAAUAUGGGAAAAAGGUCUCAAUAUCGAAUCCUUGAGAAUAAGAAAACAUUUCCUCGCAUUUCUUACAGAUAUGAUAAUUGAAAACUGCCCAAACAUAGUUUGUUUUGCAAAGAACAACUUACCCCCACUUUUGAAAAAAUUAGGGAUUGUAAAUUGCAAAAAUUUGCGAUGUUUGGUGGAUGAAGGAGGAAAUAUAAGCAUCACUAACAUAUCUCCUCUUGAGGAUUUGGAUAUUAUGGACUGUCCAUCUCUAAUAUCAUUAUCGUUACCGGUUAGGCUUCGACAUCUUAUGCUUUCGAAGUGCUCAAAGCUAGCUUCCUUAUCAGAAAGCGGCAAGUUACCCAUAGGGCUUAAACAGCUCCUAAUUAUUACCUGCCCAGAGCUCGAAUCCAUAGCAGAAGCAAUUGACGAAAACGCUUGUCUUGAAUCUUUUUGUAUCUUUGAGUGUGGUAUUAAAUCUUUACCGCAAGGAUUUGACAAGCUCAACCAUCUUCGGAGUAUUGAAAUAGUUGCAUGUUCAAAUCUAGUCUCGUUGGAAGGGUUUUUGCCCACCACCAAUUUGACUAACCUUUGGAUCUCUAAGUGUGAAAAUUUGGGAGCCCUGCCCAAUUGCAUGCACAACGUCACCUCUCUUCGACAAUUGCAGGUUGAGAAUGAUUCAGUUAAUCAAGUAUCCAUUCCAGAAGAGGGUAUCUCUACCAACCUCGCAUCACUUAAAAUCUCAGUACCAAGAAAUUAUGAGUCUUUACUUAAAUGGGGACUGCAUAGACUCACCUCUCUUAAAACACUUGAUAUUUCUGGUAGAGGAUGUCCGAAUAUGGUGGCGUUUCCACCAGAGGAGAUAGGAAUGAUGCUGCCUCCCUCUCUCACCCAUUUGACCAUUCGAAAUUUCGAAAAUUUGAAAUGCCUAUCAUCCGAAGGCUUUCAAAACCUCACCACCUCUCUUCAUCAUUUGUCCAUCUCCUCUUGCCCUAAGCUCACAUCUCUUCCUGAAAAAGACAUGCUUCUCUCGCUUUUGGAGUUACGCAUUACAGAUUGUCCAUUGCUAACAGAAGAGUGCAAAAGGGACAGAGGACGAGAGUGGUCCAAGAUAGCCCACAUACCUUGCAUUAAAAUUGAUGCGUGGUGGUCAAGCGAAAGUCAAGUUUGAAAGUCACAGGUAUGAAACCAUUUGAAACGUACGACAAGUUAGAAGCUUCUUAUUUUAACAACAAAAUGAAACUAAUUAUAAUAUUUUUGUCAAUGAUUAUUUGCAGGCAAUUUAAAAGCUUUAGAAGGAAACUUGGUGGGAAACUGGGCUUCCCAUCUUUUCAUCUAAAUGGCAGAAUCAGUGUGUAAUUAAUUGUUGGUUAGUACACUCAAGCACAUACAACUUCAACAGUCUACAGGACCCAACUGGUUUUUCUUCAACUUCAUCAUUGAUUUCGGUUUUUUUUUUUUUUUUAUUCCAGACCUAUGAAAAUCCUGCAGAGGCUGAUGAAUGGAGUGGUCAGUUAAUUCUCUGCAACCUUCAUCUACAUUUUUAGGGUUUGAUAACGAUUUGAUAUUCUAAUAAAAUACUAUUGAGUUUUCUUCAUUUCUAUUAUGAUGAAUUUGGUGUAUUUUUUACAAAUUCAAAGUCUGCCAAUUCUACUUUACUUGCCUAUACCUGGAGUACAUCCUUCACUUUAUUCUUUUAAUUUCGCAUCAUUUUUAUUUGACCUUUUUUGUGACAAUUUCUCAUACUCCAAUCUAUCUUACUUUUCUUAAUUUUUUGGAGGAACUGCUUUAUAAAGAAAAGAAAAGAAAACAGAGGAAAGGAAUAUAAGAUUGGACAUAUGUAGGUUAGAUGCUCCAUUUAAUUCGUUAACAAUUUUAAUUUUCUGCAUGUCUUAUGCUUGUGUGAAUAACAGAUUACUAAUUAUCUGGGCAGAAAAGGAUAUAGGUAUUAGAUCUCACGAGGAAACUUGGAAAAAAAUUCAGUGAAUAGAUAUACCACAUCCCAUUCAAAAAGUUGAUUAAAUUUUGAAUGAUAACGAGGUGGUCAUUUAAUUGUACGGGCAGAAACCUGAACAAGAAUCUGAAUAAGGGAAGAAUGAAUUCUGGCCUUAAAAGGUAAUUUGUUGACCUGAUAAUCAAUACAAUUAAAUGGUGGCAUGCCAUUAGGCAACAAUGAGACAAUCCUUCCUAAGCAAACCAUUUUAUGUAUAACUUUUAAAAGUUUGAGUUGGAACUCUCUCUAACUUCAUUCUCAACUUUCAGAUAAUCUAGGUACUUAGGGAUGCGUUUGAUGCGCACUUAAAAAGUAGGAUAGGAUUGCAAAUAGAAAUUUAGUACUGGUGAAGUGGUCAUCGUCGCAUACCAGUGAAAAACAAAACUUUACCUGACUUUAUAUGCACCCUUUCCAAUUUAGACACCUUGCAAUUAAAGCGCUGUCAGGAGUUUGAAAAGUUAACCUGAAAAAUAGAAAUUCUAGUCAAAUUGCAUCAUCUUGACAUUAGUCAUACAUAUUUAGUGAAAGCAAUGCCCUUUGGAAUCGGUGGACUGACCAAUCUUUAAAAACUGUCUAAUUUUGUUUUGGGUGAAGGUGGUGGAUAUCAGAUAUGGGAGAUGAAGAAUUUGUGGAAUCUCAAGGGUGAGAUUUCUAUUUCAAGGUCGGAGAGCAUUGUUAAAGCUCAAGAUGCCUGGGAAGCUAAGUUGGUUGAUACCCAGGCCUCAAUGAGUUAGAAGUGGAUUCCAACUUUUGAUAACAAUGCAAGAAAUAAAGAAGUUGAAGAAGUGGUGUUGAACUCGUUGAAUUAUGGCUGUCUUUGCUGCAUUGCUGCCACAGGGGAUUAGUUUCUACACAUUUGGAAACCAGCUUGGUUGGAGUCAGGGUCAGUUACUUUUUUGCUCACCAAAUGUUUGAUUAUUUUUUGGCCAUUUGUGCACUUGUUAGUUUGUGUUUCUUAGUUAUAUUUGACUUUUUGAAUCUGUCACCAUGCCUUAUAAUGACAGUUUAUGCAGCAUUAGUUGAAAUAUUUUGUUUUUAGUUUAUUUUUACAAGCAAUGUAUCAAAUAGUGUGAGCAGUUGAAGAUGUUUUUAAUCACUGUCUUGAGUAUAUAAAUAUGUAUUCUCUUAAUGCAAAGUGAUGUAUGAAGAGUUGAAGUUCUGGUAUUUUUUGGGUUUUGUUUUCCCUCUUUGUUUUUCCAGCAAACUUUGGUCUCUUCACGGAGAGUUUAGUAUGCAUAUCCUUAAGUUUUUUUUUUUAUCCAGCAGAAACCAAGGAUAACAUUUCAUUUAUCCCUGUCUGCCCAUAAUCAAUACCAAGGAUAACACUUGUUUUUCUCUGUCUGUCUGUCUGUCCCCAAAAAACCAAGGAUAAAACCUUAUUUCCUUGGUACAAACUCUUUCAAAAUUUACAACAGCAGAAACUAAGGUUUUUGCUUCUGCCUUCAGCUGCUUCUCCUUGGGUAGCCUUAAAAAAGUAAUGUGAGCUGCCACUAAAGCCAAGAGAACUUUUUUGGUCAUCAUAAAGAGCUAAAAUAGCUCACCAUAAUAAUUACGGGACUACCAAAUUUCCAACUUGGAUAGUAGAUUCUUCAUUACAGAAUUUAUUAUCCUUGAAUCUCAUGAAUUGUAAAAUUGCAGAUCAUACCUGCAAUUGGAAAAUUACCACUGUUGGAAUCUCUUUGCAUUGAAGGAAUGGAUGGAGGCUACCAAAGGUCUUGCUUUUGGUCAUGUUCCAUGCAGAUAUACAGAUUGCCAAUGCCCAAACAUGGUUUCUCUUUUAACGAAUAACCUGCUUCUAACUUGAAGAAGAUUUAGAAAUGAAGAUGGCAAGAAUUUACAAUGUUUGGUGGAUGAAGAAGAAGAUACUAGCACAACUUCACCUCUCUUAAGCCAGUUACGUUUGUUGGCUGUUCAGCUGACAUAUCUUUUCCAAAAGUGGAUUUCCCUACCAACCUAACAUCACUUGACAUCACAUCACCCAAUAUUUGGAGGUCACUACUUCAAUAGGGUUUGCAUAGACUCAGCUCUCUUCAAAAACUAUCCAUUAAUGGUGAAGAAUGUCCAGAUGUGGUGUUGUUUCCACAAGAGGCGAUAGGAAUGAUGCUGCCUCCCCCUAUAUGCGAUAUCAACGUAAGUGAUUUCAACAACCUGAAAUUUCUAUCCUCGAAUGGCUUUCAAAACCUCACGUCUUUUUAGUCUUUGGAGAUCAGUGAUUGCUCUAAGCCCACAUCUCUUCCAGAAAAAGACAUGCUUCUCUCACUUUGCCAUUUUCAGAUUGAUAAUUGUCCUUUGCUAGAAGAACGGUGCAAAAGGGAUAAAGGACAUACCUUAUGUUGAAAUCAGUAAUGAACGAAACUAUCCCAAAGAGGUUGAAAUCUAGAAAUUGAAAGUCAAAAGGUAUUAAACCAUUUGAAAGAUAGGCCAGAUAAUUGAAUUCUGAUUAUUUAUUCAUUUAAUUUUUGUUAGAUAUAUAAGAUAAUACUAAGUCUGAUAUGUUAUUGAUGAUAUAUAAUUAAUUUACAGCCACAUUGGAGGCUUGAAAGCUACAAAGUGCAGUUCGUAUAUAUAGCUCUAUUCAAAGAUCAGGUACAAGCUUCUCAUUUUCUUUUUCCAUUUCACUUGCACUUAAACAUAGCAUACUCAUCAAUCCACAACAUUUAACCAUUAAAACAGUUAUGCUCCUCUAACGUCAAGUAUCUGUAAACAACUCUUGGUGUGAAUUUGUUGAUUCAUCAUUUCAGCUUAUGAAACUGAUUAAAAAGUUCAAGGAUGAAGGUGAGUUGAUUUUUCUCUGCUUUUUUACGUCAUGUACAUUGAAGAAUUGAAAAGUGAUUGUUAGAGUAUAUACGCAGUUUCAUGGACAAAAUUGUGUUUUAAUUUUUGGUAAGUUAUAUAUUUGUUCAUACAGAAGCAUAUUUGUUUUGAUUUCAGGAAAUUGCCAUUUUGUUAAAGAAAAUUUAAUUCUCUCUCUCCUUUUCCAUAUUAUCAAUUUUCUUUGUACUUGAUUACUUUAACCCACACCAAUUAUGCUUUCCUUGAGUUUGUUGGAUAGUGAACUACUUUCUGUUCUUUUAGUAUUUUAAUGUUCAUGUAUUUAGUCCUUUGCUUUCUGAGUUUGUAGAGAAUGGAGAGGAAAGGAAAAAUUACAUCCAUAAAAUUCUAAUAUUUUGUUGGAUUUUCCAUUACAGAGGAGUGUCUCCCCACCAAUUGAAUGUUGCUUUGAAUCUCUGCUGCUAAAAUCUGUAUACCAUUAUUACAUUGGGGAGUGCACAUAUGAAUCUGUCGUGGACAACUUCCCAUUGGUGGUGUUAAUGAUGUAGCCGGCCACCUUCCAAACUUUCCUUGUCACCAAGAAGUUCCUAAAUUUGGAAUACCAGCACUGCAAGGGCUUUCAGAACAUCUCCUUGCUCAAAGGUUUGUAUACUUUAAUUGCCUUAAUCUAUAAAAAAGGAUAAAAGAUGAAGUGAUUAGAGAUAUCUCCUGUAUUCAUAACAUAUUACUUAUAAGCUCAAGAGGAACAGUGAAAACUAGUUGUUUUUCAUAGAAAAACAGCGAGAAAAGCAUAAUAUACCAUGCUUGUAAAUUCAAUCCUAGGUAUGGCAAUGGGAAAAUCCUCUCUCCUUUUCCUCUUUGAACAAUUAAUUAAAACUUCUAUGAUCACCAAGUGUUGAUUUACUCGUACAUACAGAAGUUUGAACAUGAUUAGGAAACAACAAGGAUGAAUUCAGCUCCAGUUCUAAUCUAUUGGCCAUAAAAUCAAUGCAAUGCAGAGGUGAGCUUUUAUAUAUUGGACUAUAUUAAGAUAAUAUGCCUCACCAAUAGAAACAAUCCCUCCUUCUAAAUGAUAUAUGCAUGUAUAGUUCUAUUUUUGUAUUGAAUUUCCUUUAGCAAUCACAUAAUAUUGUUUCCACACCACUGGAUAUUACUUAUUAGCCACAGAAGGGAAAAACGGCAAGAAUCAGAGAAACUACCAUACUUGUAGAUAUAUGGUAUGUCAAUUGGAAAAUCCUCCUGUUCUUUUUACACUUUGAUAAUAAUUAAUUAAAGUUUUUAUGCUAACCAAGUUUUAGUCUAGUGUGUACAUGCAGAAAUCUGAGCAUCCAUAGGAAGCAACAACGAUGAAAUUUAACCUCCAGUUGUAAUCUAUUGACUGUAUAAUCAAUUCAAAGCAGAGGUGAGAUUUUAUUAGACUACCUUAAGAUAAUAUCCCUCACCAAUGGACAGCCCUUAUGAUAAAUAACCUUUUGCAUAUCUAUUAGUUACUCAUCUUCAUUCUCAAUAGUGUGACCCUCAUUCACAAUAGGUUUAAGUAGAUGAACCCUGAUUGAAAGUACAUUGCAGUUCUCAAGUAAUGUGUAGAAUUAUUUUUUCACACCAGAACUGUUGUACAACUUGGCACACAGAGAUGCAAAGAGCUUAUGUAACAGCUUUCAUGGCUCUUUAUGCCAAGCUUUUUUUGCUUCUAAUAUUACAUAUUACCAUGCCCUGCAUGUUGCUUCUUCAGCCUUCAACACUAAUCUCUCUAUGUCAAUCCCAGUGAGUCUUCAAUCCCUCCAAAUGACCCAAAAAGUAUCACUAGAGGCAAAAAGUGUCACUAGCGGCAGCACCAAUGCUAACAUACAUCAUUGCAACAUGUCAUCACCUAAAGAGCAAUCAAUGUCAUUGACAGUCAAGAUUUUCUUUUCUAACACUAUGAAUCAGUUGGGUAAGAAUAACUUAUUAAAAAAUUUGCUCUUCAUUUAUCAUUUCUCUUUGCAAAGAAACUUCUUCAAAUUCAUCAGUAGUAUCAUCACUAAUAGAUUCACACUAAUCCCUUAACAAAUUUUCAUAGAUAGACUUUGUAAUGUGCCAUAAACUAGUUGAGCUUUCAGUUUUCUUUUUCUUUUUCAUGAUUAUGCUAUAUAAAGUUUGUAUACUAUGGUAUUGGACUUCAGAAGGAUUAAUUUUCUUGCGCUUUUGAAUUGAGAUUAUGAGAUGUAUAAUAGAUUCAAGCUAAAUGUUAAUCUCUUUUUCCUACUCUUCGUCCUUUCUCUUUUAUCUUCUUCUUUGGCAAAUAAAGAGAUCCAACAAAUUUCAAUACAGGAAAUAAACUGAAUUUUUAUGGCUAUCAUCUGAUGGAUGUUAAGCCAUAAUGCAUGAGCAGGCCUUAAAUCUUCUUGUUUCGCUGAUAGCGAUCUAACUUCUCUGUCACUUGGCUGUGGCAAUGCUUAAAACUUCUGCAGAUCAAAACACCUUUUUCCUUUUAUUGGAUAUGUAUAGUGCAUGCCUUCAUUUUGUAUAAUCAGUAAUGUUCUUUGGCUUUUCAGAAGGUGCUUGUCUGUGUCAUCCCUGUGCCAAAAAGGAGCGUUACAAUGGUAGACGGUAGUUUUGAUGCAAGAUGUUCUAAAAAUGUUUUACCUCUGUUGGUGCCUCAUCCUUAGUCCCACGUAAGUCUCAUGAAUGAUUGGGAAUAGCUAAGUUAUUUUAUUGUUUUUUGACUAGAAUGUCAACAUGAUGUCAUGGUCUUACCCCUGAGGCCACAUUGUUUGACCAGGUGCCACAACCAAAGAAGCUGAAUGUCAAGUUUCCUACUAGUGUUAGUGUCAAUUUUUUAUAUUAAUAGUUAUUCUGUUUUUUCUUCUUGGUAUUUUAUGUUCCUUCAUUAAUAUUGGGAAUUUGGACCUAUGCAUUCUUUCAACCUGAUAUUUUAUUGUAAAAGAAAUGCCAUGAGCAUGGAUAACGGAUGUGGGCAUGAUAACUUGUCAAGUCACCAUACAAAAUUCAUGAAAGCAUAGUGAUUUGCGACCAGGCUGCCAUUGUUGGGAUUUUUGUUAUUGUGGAUUAUGGUGAUUAUUAAAGUCAUAACUGUGGCAAUAUUUUUCUAACAGGCUACUCGUUAUCCAUCACUUUAUGAAGCAAUCGAUGGGUUGUGCAACAGUUACCGAGGCAAGAUUAAAGCAGAAUGGAUUGUUGUGACAAAUUAUUGAUCUGGCACUACCAUGGAGUUUUCUACAGCACUAAUUCAUGGGAAAUAAAAAGCUGAUGAAGUCUUUAGGCCACUUGUACCUACUUUCACUGCAUUAUUUUUCAUAUACAUUCUUUUAGGGGAAAUGAGAAUGGGGGUGAGAGUGGGGAUGCUAAUUGGUAUAUCAAUGAAGUUUAUCACUGUUUGCUAAAGGAUACUUUCUUGUAUUCAGGUGAUGUGUCCCAACCAGGUAAUGGGUAUGCAAUCAGGGAGCUAGUCUCUAGGAUCCAAACACAUAAAUUCAAUUUAGCCUCCUGGUGAGAUUUUGGCUUUGCUUUAUGAUUUUUACUUCAUCGUUUCAUAUAAUAGUUCACACAUAUUUGACUUAUUUCUAAGGCAUAUCUCCAAGUAUAUUUACUUGCAUCUAGUUGAUGUCAGCAGAAUUUUAGAACUCAUCUGAGUUUCAAAAAUGUAUUAGUUCUAACUGUGUCUGACCAUAUACAAUAAAUAAUGAGAUAGCAUAGUAGGGAAUUCUUGGAAAAGUGAAGUAUACUUUAGAUAUACUUAUUAUUAUUGUCAUCAAAUGUCUGAAAAUAUUUGAUUUUUUUGCUUUUUGUUUAUAGCUCCUGAGAAAGGGAAAUGAGUGCCAAUAGUAAAAUCACCACAUAUUUGCAGAACCUGAGGUCUCUCAAUUGGGAAGGUGGGCAACACCUGACUUCAGUUCCCUUUCUAUACAUAACUGUUAAUUAAAUUUUAAUUUUAAUACUUGAAAAUGCAGCAUGAUAAGAAGUUAUUGACCUUUCUUGGGAAGUAGAUUGAAAAUGUAGGGAUCAUUUGUAUGUUUUUUGCUGCUACUUUCCCUUUUUUUCUUAGGUUACUCAGGUCUCUCAUAUUUUCCUAUGUAAUGUAAUUGCAUAAGUUCAGGAAGAGUCAUGUCUAAAAUGUAACCACAAGAAUAUUUUAGUGAUGGCAGGUUCAGAUACUCAGGCAUGCCUCUUUCACCUAAGCACUGCUUGGGACCCUUGUGUCAAGAGGUUGAGGAGGAUUGCAAUCAUGUUCUAUAUUUAUGUCAAUUUUCUUGCAGUCCUGGUGCAAGUUACUUUCUCCGAUGAUGCUAUUUUGGUCUCAUCCCCUUUGCAUCAGAUUCCUGUUGCAAUGCGUUUGAGCCUUUUCUGGAUUACUCUGGUGGUUUACUUCCUAUUCUGCUGCUUCUCCAUGGCUAGUAAGAUAUGAGGCUGGCUUUAAUGAGAAACGGAGGUGGGUGGACGAGAUUAUUUUUCGUUGUAAGCUUUGUUCUCUGCAUUGGCGUAGAGCUUUGGCUGAUGGCAUCUUGUUCUCGGACUAGGAUUCUGUGGCUUGCUCCCCUUCCUUCCAGUAACAUCUCCGUGGACCUGCUGGCUGCGGUUGAGUGUUAAGAGAUUCCUCUGGCUCUAUUCUAGCUUUGUUUUCUGGCCAAAUUGGUGUGCUAGACCAAUGUUGUUGAAAUAUAAUACUAUAUUUGCUUUGGAAAUAUUCUCUAGGACAUAUUGGAAAGAGAAAAAGGUGCUGGUGGUUGAAUCAGAUUCAACCGUAGUUGUGCCUUGGGUGAAGAAGAUUGAGGAUUGCCCUGGGAAUUUGUGUGUUACCUUCAAUUAGAUUGAUCCACUUACUGCUGACAUUGGUGAAGCCUUCUUUGGUACCAUCUGUUGGGAAGUUAAUGGCCUUGCUGACUCUAUAGUGUGUAGAACUGGCAUGUUCAUGGCUUGGUGGUUCAGCAGGCUGUUAUUUUAUCUCCACCCUUUGGGCGCCAUUCUACCAGGCCUGUUAUUAGAGGUUUUAUGGUGUGCAUAUUUUUACGCCUUUGGGUGUUAUUUUAGUCCAGGGAGAUUGCUUGUUAUCUGUUCAUCAACCCAAUAUAUAAGAACCAACUCAAGCCGCCACAAGAAUAGUCAAGCAGUACAUCACAAGAGUCCAUAACUUUACCAGUAAGUUUUUAUAUUUUACACAUUGAUUGCAUGCUUCAUUCGUUAAGAACGAAAGAAACCAAAUGCUACCACAAGAAAGCACCUGGAGAAGCUUGUGUUUGGUUUGCUUGGGAUUAGCUGAUGGAUCCGAAUUAAAGUUAACAGAAAUAAUUUAGAAACUUUCUUCUUUCCCUUUGUAGAAACAUACAUUGGGAGAUGAAAUUGAAUCUAUAUAAGAAUAAAGCUAAUUAAGAGCCUAAGACAACCUUUCCACUCUGCAUCCCUCCUUCCCAACCCAACAACAAAUAGCAAAACUUGCAUGUUGUCAGCCAUAAGAUUAAAGCCUAGAAUUUUCUUCUUUUUUUUUUUGCUAAGCAAAAAUUUUCACUAUUGAAAAUUUAAAGUGUUAAUAAAUAUUAAAAUAUUGAUAAAAUUAUAUUUGAUUAAAUAUAAAUGAUAAUUAUGAACAAAAAUCUAUUAAUUACUCACUUGACUUUACAAAAAAUAAAUACCAAUAAACUCGUUGUUCAUUACUUCUAUACCAUAUGUGAAUAGUCGUCAAAUAGUUGAAUUAAGAUAAAGUAGCAUUAUUCGUUAAAAUUUUUCUCCAUCUCUCUCAUUUUUAUCUCUCUUCAUUUAACUUUUAUGUAUUUAUAUUAAUUUUUUUUAUUUUUAUAUAAAAUCGAGGUUCCAUGGUUUUUAAAACAAAAAGUUAAAAAAAAUCAUGAAAAAUUAUUUUGAAUAUAAAAAAGCAAUAGUAUUAGCUGUUAAAAAAAAAAAGAACAUAAUAUUAAAAUAUUCACAAAAAUAUAAUCCAAUGAAAGGAGACAAAAAGAGUAUGGUAGUCAUAGAUAUCCCUUGUACUCAUCAUCAUCUACAUUAAACAAUUGUACCUUUUAGAAGAAGGUUUUGAUGGUUUAAGAAGUUGAAAAGAGGAGUGAAUAAAAUAGUAUACAAAGAAAUUAAAAAAUUGUCUUAUGUUUGAUUAGAGUCUGUUUAUUGAAAUUAAUAAAUUAUUAUAAUAAUUAAAUAAAUAUGUUAUAUAUAAAAUAAUAAUUUGCCUAAAAAAAAAAAAGAGGACCAACUACUAAAUCAAGUAACAUUUUGUUUUUGUGGUAGUAUUUUGAAGCACAAAAUUGAAGAGGACCAAUAAUUAAAUAAACUUUGAUUGAUUUAUCUGAUAAUAAUGAAAUCUGUGAAUGCAAAAGGCUGAAAUUAAGUAAGGAAAUGCUUCAUUUGAAGGAGAGAGUAAGGAACGCAAAAAGCAAGUAAAACCCAACUCAAUUAUUAAGCUACCCUCACGUACUUCUUUAAGUUUCACACAGCAAAAAUACAUCUCUUUUCCACAUACGCACUUCAAUCUCCAAUCUCCAUUUUUCAUUUCUCUCUUUCUUUCUUGAGCGAAAGGGGAGACUGCUCUCACAGCUUUCUUUGAUGGGCUGUUUGGCAAAUUAUCCUCUCCUGAUUUCCUCAACUUUGUCACCGGAAAGCAGGAGUGCUUUUUAAAUAAUAUCAUGCAUAAUUUUGUUGAUUGUAUAAUUUCAUAUCGGGUUAGAAAAUUUACAAUUUGAAUUAAAUAAGAAUUCGUAAUCGACACAUUGUGUCCAGUACUUUUAUGUGCUUGUUUAUAGAUUACAACUAGGUAGUCAAAUCAUUAAAAUUAACAUUUAUUAAAUGAAGAUAAAAAAAAUAAAUAAGGAUCAUUCAGCCUAACGGAUAUACCUGUUUCAGCUGAGCAUUUCAUGCAUGAAUACUUUUCAUUUUUUAAUGAAAGUAGUAAUACAAUAUUUACAUUGCUCUACAAUUGUUACAUAAAUAAACCAAUAUUUUCAUUGGCAGAAAUAUUACAUUUGGUUAUUUUUCUACAUUUCUAUUUCUUAAUUCUUUUCUUGGAUUAUUAUUCAUUGCAUAGGCAGUAUAUAUAUAUAUAUAUAUUUAAAAUGAAAAUAAUGAACUAUUUAAUUAUUAAAUAAAUAUGUAAAAAUUUUAAACUCACUUGUAGAAUUUAAAAAAAAUUCACUAUCACUUUACAAAAUGAUAAUCUAUUUUUUCAUAAAACCAAACAAACUCAUCACUUUAAUUUUUUCAUUCUCUUUUUUUUUUUUUGCUAUAUUGUUAUACUUGUAGGUUUACUCACAUUUUUCAAGUACUUAAAUUUAUUUAUCAUAUGAAUAAUUUUAAAACAUUUUUUAUUAGAAAAUAAAUAUAGCUAGGGUUUGGGAAAGUAAGAGGCAAGCAGCAUGGUUUAGGAAAGAUAGCAACCAAAAGAAAUAUUAUCGGGUUUAGGGUAUCCUAUGGGUGAUACUCGAAAUCUACUCAAACCCGAAUUGAGUAUUAAAAACCUUAUUCAAAGUUGCUUUAUUACCGAAUAGAGGGUAUCCAAAUCUUUUGUUAUCAAGUCAGAUACUUAUGGAUACUAUAUAAUAGUUACCUGCUACAUCCCUAAGUUAGACUUCACAGUUGCUUUAGGAAACUAUUUGUUGUAUGUGCUUGUACCAAAAGGAAUAAACAAGCUAUUUUACUAUAAAUAACAGUAGGACCACCAUAGCAAAAUAGAAAAUUAAAAAAAAGGAGAAUUGCAAGUAAAUAAAAAAAUUUCCACACACUAACUUUAAAGUUUUAAAAUUAUAUAAACAAAUUAAAAAAUUUUCUUAUGUUUGACUAGAGUAUGUUUAUUGAAAUUAAUAGAUUCUUAUAAUAAUGAAAUAAAAUAUGUGAUAUAUAAAAUGAAAAUUUGCAAAAAAAAGAGGACCUACGAUUAAAUCAAAAUUUGAACCAAAAUGAACCCACCACCACUAGCUUUGGUUAGUGCCCGGUUGACCUUUAUUUUCCGCCACAGUGUAAAUUUUUGGGAAAAAGGCUUACCUUUCGGGUUCUUUUUGGUAACAAGAAGCCUUAACUUUCUUUCCCUUUUGUCUUCUAUUAAUCUAAUUAGAAUCUUUUUUAUUGUACCAAAAAUUCUUCUUUUCACCUUUCCUUUUGCUUUCUCCAAGACCGUGUGGGUUCCAUCCACAAAGAAGAAUUAAUUAACCAAGUACAGAAAGAUAAAAAAGAAAGAAUUUAAAGAGUUAAAUUGAAGAGGACCAAUAAUUAAAUAAAGUUUGAUUGAUUUCUUUGAUAAUAAUGAAAUCUGUUAAUGCCAAAAGGUUGAAAUUAAGUAAGGAAAUGCUUCAUUUGAAGGAGAGAGUAAGGAAAGAAGAAGCAAGGAAAGCCCUGGAAAGAUGUAACAAAAUUAAGAGAGCAAUGAAUGAAGGGAUUAAUGAAUACUUAAAUACUCACCUAAUGAUUUGUGAAUUUGUCUAAUAAAUUUUUAAUUGUUUCCAAAAGGACAGGAAUAGUUGUGGUCAAAUUAUUGGAACACGUAGCCUUGCUCUUUCUUCAACUUGGUUUUGCCUUUAUUCACGGGAGAAACAAAUCCAUUUCGCCCAUGCAUGCAGAACAAGAAUAUGAUUCAAAACACUAACAUGGCUAUACUGACCCACACUACCCGAAAUGGUCCAAUUCCCCAAAAGAAGAAGAAUCUUUUAGAGUUCGAUGACUGCUUUAUUGAAAGUGGGAAUUUGCUUUCGGUGACUCACGGCCAGUUUCUUCCUUGUCUUUUUCCAUCGGUACCGCUGGCUCCAACAAACCACAUGGGGUCAUUCUUCGAAAGAGAAGUCGACGACUCCAAGUCAAUACCCACCUCAAUAAGCUGUUUGGUAAAAAGAACAAGAAUCUUGUAAAGCUCGAUUACUGCUUGAUUGAAAGUAGAAUUUGCUUUGGGUGACUCAUUGCUAGUUUUUUCCUUGUCUUUUUCCAUCACUACCAGUGGCCUCUAAGAAACUACAUGGGGUCUUUCUUCGAAUGAGAAUUCGACGACUCCAAGUCAAUACCUUACUCAAUUGUUAAGCUACCCUCACAAACUCCUUUAACUUUCACACAGCAAAAUACAUCUCUUUUCCACAUACGCACUUCAAUCUCCAUUUUUGAUUUCUCUCUUUCUUUCCUGAGCAAAACAAUCAUGUCUGUUGUUGGGGAGGCCGCUCUCACAGCUUUCUUUGAUGGGUUGUUUGGCAAGUUAUCCUCUUCUGAUUUCCUCAACUUUGUCACUGAAAAGCAGAUCCGCAAGGAGCUCAACGAGUGGGAAAAGAUGCUGCGGGAUAUCCGUGCCGUGCUUGAUGAUGCAGAGGGGAAGCAGAUGAAGGAUCAGUAUGUGAAGAACUGGUUGGCCGAUCUUCAAGACUUGGCUUACGAUGUCGAUGACAUUUUGGACGAGUUUGCCACUGAAGCUUUGAGGCGCAAGCUGACAUCCUUUGAGGAAGGCAUCAAAAAUAAGGUACAAAAGAUCAUUCCUACUCGUUUCUCUCCAAAAACUUUCAUGUUUAAUAAGAAGAUGGUGUCCAAGAUUAAAGAGAUCAGUGCUAGAAUAAAUGAUUUGGCCACAAAAAGAACUCAAUUGGAAUUGCGAGGCAUUAAUGAGGGAUCAAGGUCCGAUAGAAUGAUACAAAGGCUUCAGCCUACUUCUUUGGUGGAUGAAACUCAGGUGUACGGUAGGCAAGAAGAAAAGGCAGCAUUACUUGAAUUGCUUUUGAGCAAUGAUGGCACUGACAAUGAAGCUUCUGUGAUUCCCAUCAUUGGCAUGGGAGGAAUUGGCAAGACAACUCUUGCACAACUUCUCUACAAUGAUACUCGUAUAGAGAAUUCUUUCGAGUACAAGGCAUGGGUAUGCGUUUCUGAAGAUUUUGAUGCCGUUGGCAUAACAAAGAGAAUUCUACGGUCAAUCACUCCUGGUUGUUGUACCGAUGACAAUGAUCUCAAUUUACUUCAAGUCGAGUUGAAGAAGAUGCUGGCCGGGAAAAAGCUUUUGCUUGUCCUGGAUGACAUCUGGAACGAUAAUUAUCUGGAGCUGACCAACCUACUCUCUCCAUUUGGAGUUGGAACCAAAAUUCUCGUCACAACACGGAGUCACGAUGUUUCUUCUAUUAUGGGCACUGUUGAAGCUUACCCACUACAACAGUUAUCAGAGGAGGAUUGUCUAUCUGUAUUUUCUCAGCAUGCAUUAAGAGCAAAUGAUUUUAGUGGGCAUCCUGAAUUAAAAGAAGUUGGGGAAAUUAUAGUGAAAAAGUGCAACGGCUUACCUUUGGCAGCUAAAGCCAUCGGUGGUUUACUACGCACUAGACUGGACUAUGAGGCAUGGAAAGGUAUAUCAGAAAGCGAGAUAUGGGGCAUACCAGAAGAGAAAUGUAGCAUAAUUCCUGCUUUACGAUUGAGCUAUCAUCAUCUUCCUUCACAUUUGAAACGAUGCUUCGGAUAUUGCUCUAUACUCCAUAAGGAUUAUGAAUUCGGGGAGGAGGAGAUAAUCUUGUUAUGGAAAGCAGAAGGUUUUCUACAACCAGCAAGCCCUGGAACUCAACUCGAAGUUCUAGGUAGUCAAUAUUUUCGAGAUCUAGUAUCAAGGUCAUUUUUUCAAACAUCUACUAGGAACAAGUCUCGAUUUGUAAUGCAUGAUCUUGUCAAUGAUCUGGCUCAAGCGGUUGCAAGGGAAAUAUGCUCCAAAUUGGAGAAUGAUAAACAGUUGAGAUUUUCGGAAGGUACUCGACAUUCAUCUUAUGUUUGUGGUGAGUUUGAUGGAAUGAAAAAGUUUGAAGCCUUCAAUCGAACAAAGCAUUUACGAACCUUUCUACCGUUGUCUGGAUCGUCGUGGGCAUGCGAAGGUAAUUGUUAUCUAAGUAACAAUGUUCUCGUUGAUUUGCUGCCCAAACUUCGAUGCUUAAGAGUUCUUUCUUUGAAAGGGUAUCACAUCAUUGAGUUACCAAACUUUUUUCAAAACUUAAUACAUUUGCGCUACUUGGACUUUUCUCAUACUAGAAUUACAAGCUUGCCUGAUUCAACCUGCACCCUUUAUAAUUUAGAAACUUUACUAUUAUAUGGGUGUAGAUUGCUUCAAAAUCUACCCUCAAAUUUACAAAUUCUAGUCAAUUUGCAUGUUCUCGACAUCACUGAUACGUCUUCAAUGAAAGGGAUGCCGUUUGGAAUUGGUAACUUAACCAAUCUUCAAAGAUUAUCUGAUUUUGUUUUAGGCAAAGGUGAUGGAUAUCAUAUACAAGAGAUGAAGAAUUUGUUAAAUCUCAAAGGUAAGCUUUGUAUCUCAGGGUUAGAGAACAUUGUUAAUGCUCAAGAUGCAUGGGAGGCUAAGUUAAUAUAUAAGUCAGGCCUUGGCGCAUUAGAACUAAAGUGGAGCAGAGAAUUUGAUAAUAAUAGAAAUAAAGAAGUUGAAGAAGAGGUGUUGAAUUUGCUUGAACCUCAUAAAAAGCUUGAAGAGCUCUUCAUCCAGGAUUAUGGUGGUACAAAAUUUCCGAUUUGGAUGAAUUUUUCAUUACAAAAUUUGUCGUCUUUGGUUCUCAAGGGUUGUAAAAAUUGUGUAUCACUGCCAUCACUUGGAAAAUUACCGUUACUGAAGAAGCUUUCUAUUGUUGGAAUGGAUGAGUUAAAUAAGGUUGGCAUUGAGUUCUAUGGGGAGAAUCAAUCAAACGCAUUUGCUUCGUUACAGAGUUUGAGCUUUGAGCAUAUGCCAAGAUGGAAGGAAUGGGACUUGGUUGAUGAGCAAGGUGUGAAAUUCCCUAGCCUCGUCGAGCUUUGCAUCAGUGACUGCCCUCAAUUGUUGGGAACGUUGCCUAACCGUCUUCAUUCCUUAAAGAAGCUCGCAAUAAGGUUCUGUAGACAAUUGGUAGUUUCACUUUCAAACCUUCCAAAGCUGUCUAAAUUGCAAAUAUGUGAGUGUGCGGAGUUGGUGCUGAGAGAUGAUGCAGACUUUCUCUCAAUAAAAGAAGUCCGUCUUUCAAACAUUGGAAAGUUUUCUACUCCAACGGAAAGGCUGGUAUCAACAUCAACAACAUUGAAGCAUUGUGAUCUUCCUGAUUGUGAGGGAUUGACAUAUUUAUCGCUAAAGAUGUUGGGACUGUUGGGAUCUGUCCGUAAAUUGGAAAUUUUUGAAUGUCCACAACUUGUGUUGUUAGAGCCAGAUGAGGUAGAGGAGGCAGAAGAGGAGCUGUUUCAAGUUGGGAAUCUUUGCAAUAUUGAAUCUUUGAGAAUAUGGGAAGCUGGUGUCCAGAUGGACUCUUUGAGAAUAAGAAAGCAUUUUCUCCCAUUUCUUACAGAGAUGGAAAUUGAAGAUUGCCCAAACAUAGUUUGUUUUGCAAAGAACAACUUACCCCCGCUUUUGAAAAAGUUGGAGAUUGCAAAUUGCAAGAAUUUGCGAUGUUUGGUGGAUGAAGGAGAAAAUAUAAGCAUCACUAACAUAUCUCUUCUUGAGCAUUUGAAUAUUAUUCGCUGUCCAUCUCUAAUAUCAUUAUCAUUACCUGUUAAGCUUCGACGUCUUUAUCUUCGGGGUUGCUUAAAGCUAGCUUCCUUAUCAGAAAGUGGCAAGUUACCCAUAGGGCUUAAAGGGCUUUACCUUUCUUUCUGCCCAGAGCUCGAAUCCAUUGCAGAAGUAAUUGACGAAAAUGCUUGUCUUGAAUCUAUUAGCUUCUGCAAUUGUGGUAUUAAAUCUUUACCGCAAGGAUUAGACAAGCUCAACCAUCUUCGGAGUAUUGAAAUAAAUAGAUGUUCAAAUCUAGUCUCGUUGGAAGGGUUUUUGCCCACCACCAAUUUGACUAACCUUUGGAUCUCUGAAUGUGAAAAUUUGCGAGCCCUGCCCAAUUGCAUGCCCAACCUCACGUCUCUUCGAGAAUUGACGGUUUGGAAUAAGUCAGGUGAUCAGAUAUCCAUUCCAGAAGAGGGUAUCUCUGCCAACCUCACAUCACUUAAAAUCUCAGUACCAAGAAAUUAUGAGUCUCUAAUUAAGUGGGGAUUGCAUAGACUCACCUCUCUUAAAACACUUGAUAUUUCUGGGAGAGGAUGUCCGAAUAUGGUGGCGUUCCCACCAGAGGAGAUAGGAAUGAUGCUGCCUCCCGCUCUCAUGAAAUUGAGCAUUAAAAAUUUCAAAAAUUUGAAAUGCCUAUCCUCCAAAGGCUUUCGAAACCUAACCUCUCUUCAUCAUUUGUCCAUCUCCUCUUGCCCUAAGCUCACAUUUCUUCCUGAAAAAGACAUGCUUCUCUCACUUUUGAAGUUAUGCAUUGGAGAUUGUCCAUUGCUAGAGGAAAAGUGCAAAAGGGGCAAAGGACGAGAGUGGUCCAAGAUAGCCCACUUACCUUGCAUUAAAAUUGAUGUGUGAUAGUAAAGCGAAAGUCACAGGUAUGAAACCAUUUGAAACCUACGAUAAUUUAGAAGCUUCUUAUUUUUAACAACAAAAUGAAACUAAUUAUACCUUUUUUUGUCAAUGAUUAUUUGCAGGCAGUUUAAAAGCUUUAGAAGGAAACUUGGUGGGAAACUAGGCUUCCCACCUUUUCAUCUAAAUGGCAGAAUCAGUGUGUAAUUAAUUGUUGGUUAGUAGACUCAAGCACAUACAACUCCAACAGUCUACAGGACCCAACUGCUUUUUCUUCAACUUCAUCAUUGAUUUCGUUUUUUUUUUUCAGACAUAUGAAAAUGCUGCAGAGGCUGACGAAUGGAGCGGUUAGUUAAUUCUCUGCAACCUUCAUCUACAUUUUUAGGGUUUGAUAACGAUUUGAUAUUCUAAUAAAAUACUAUUGAGUUUUCUUCAUUUCUAUUAUGAUGAAUUUGCUGUAUUUUUUACAAUUUCAAACUAUGCCAAUUAUACUUUACUUGCCUAUACCUAGAGUACAUCCUUCACUUUAUUCUUUUAAUUUCACAUCAUUCUCAUUUGAUCUUUGUGUAACAAUUUCUCAUACUCCAAUCUAUCUUACUUUUCUUAAUUUUUUGGAGGAACUGCUUUAUAAAGAAAAGAACUGAAAACAGAGGAAAGGAAUGUAAGAUUGGAUAUAUGUAGGUUAGAUGCUGCAUUUAAUUCGGUAACAAACUUUAAUUUUCUGCAUGUCUUAUGCUUGUGUGAAUAACAUAUUACUAAUUAUCUGGACAGAAAAGGAAAUAGGUAUUAGAUCUCACAAGGAAACUUGGAAAAAAUUCAGUGAAUAGAUAUACAACGUCCUAUUCAAAUAGUUGAUUAAAUUUUGAAUGAUAAUGAAGUGUUCAUUAAUUGUACAGGCAGAAACCUGAACAAGAAUCUGAAUAAGGGAAGAAUGAAUUCUGGCCUUCAAAGGUAAUUUGUUGACCUAAUAAUCAAUACAAUUAAACGGUGGCAUGCCAUUAGGCAACAAUGAGACAAUCCUUCCUAAGCAAACCAUUUUAUGUAUCACUUUUAAAAGUUUGAGUUGGAACUCUCUCUAACCUUCAUUCUCAACUUCCAGAUAAUCUAGGCACUUAGGGAUGCGUUUGAUGUGCACUUAAAAAGAAGGAUAGGAUUGCAAAUAGAAAUUUUAGAACUGGUGAAGUGGUCAUUGUUGCAUGCCAGUGAAAAACAAAACUUUACCUGACUUCUUAUGCACCCUUUGCAAUUUAGACACCUUGCUAUUAAAGCAAUGUCACGAGUUAGAAAAGUCAACCUGAAAAAUAGAAAUUCUAGUCAAAUUGCAUCAUCUUGACAUUAGUCAUACAAAUUCAGUGAAAGCAAUGCCCUUUGGAAUUGGUAGACUAACCAAUCUUUAAAAACUGUCUUAUUUUGUUUUGGGUGAAGGUGGUGGAUAUCAGAUAUGAGAGAUGAAGAAUUUGCGGAAUCUCAAGGGUGAGAUUUCUAUUUUAGGGUUGCAGAGCAUUGUUAAAGCUCAAGAUGCAUGAGAAGCUAAAUUGAUUGAUACUUGGGCCUCAAUGAGUUAGAAGUGGAUUGCAACUUUUGACAACAAUGCAAGAAAUAGAGAAGUUGAAGAAGUGGUGUUGAACUCGUUGAAUUAUGGCUGUCUUUGCUGCAUUGCUGCCACAGGGGAUUAGUUUCUACACAUUUGGAAACCAGCUUGGUUGGAUUUAGGGUCAGUUUACUUUUUGCUCACCAAAUGUUUGAUUAUUUCUUUGGUCAUUUGUACACUUGCCAGUUUGUGUUUCUUAGUUAUAUUUGACUUUUGGAAUCUGUCACCAUGCCUUCUAAUGACAGUUUGUGCAGCAUUAGUUGAAAUAUUUUAUGUUUAGUCUAUUUUUAGAAGCAAUGUAUCAGAUAGUGUGAUCAGUUGAAGAUAUUUUUGUUCACUCUCUUGAUUAUAUAAAUAUGUAUUCUCCUAAUGAAAAGUGAUGUAUGAAGAGUUGAAGUUCUGGCCUUUUUUGAGUUUUGUUUUUCCUCUUUGUUUUUCCAGCAAACUUUGGUCUCUUCAUCGAGAGUUUAGUAUGCAGAUCUUUAAGUUUUUUUUAUCCAGCAGAAACCAAGGAUAACAUUUCUUUUAUCUGUAUCUGCCCAUACUCAAUACCAAGGAUAACACUUGUUUUUCUCUGUCUGUCUGUCCGCACAAAACCAAGAAUAACACCUUAUUUCCUUGGUACAAACUCUUUCAAAUUUACAACAGCAGAAACAAAAGGUUUUUGCUUCUGCCUUCAGCUGCUACUCCUUGGGUAGCCUUGGACAAGUAAUGUGAGUAGCCACUAAAGCCAAGAGAACUGUUAGAAAAGUGAUCUUUAUUUGGUUGAUGAAAAGCUGAGUUGGUUGUUGAGGAGGAGAAAACCAGAUGGCGGGUUGCAACGGUAACUUGAAGUUCUGAAGUAGCUGUUGGCGUCAAAACGCAGUAAGCAGGAGUUGUUUUUUACUUUACUGAAUUUUUUGUUAAUGAAACGUUGCAGGAGUGUGUCGUUUUACUUAGUCUUCUGUUAUGCCGUUACUCAUACGAUGUCGUUUAGUAUUUCUUGUAAGGCUUUAAGCCAAGUUUGGUUCAGUUUGUUUUUCUGUUGCUUGGCACUGGUUUUCAUGGUGAAUGCUGAGCCAAGUUUUAGGCUCAAUUCAUUUGUUUGAAAAUCGUUGCUACAUUUUAGGAUCCAGAAAGUUUGAAUUUUAAAAUUCCUCAUAUAAAUACUGAAAAAUGUAUUGAGCGGGUGGUUAAAUUCCAGAAUAUUUUUCUACUCUGUUCGGAAAAGCUUAUUCUUCUCUUUUCUCUGCUGUUUCUUCCUUAAUUCUCUGGAAUUCCUAAACACUUAGUAAUUCUAGCAAGAACUUUCUUGGUCGUCAUAAAGAGCUAAAAGAAGCUCACCAUAAAAAAUUAUGGGACUACCAAAUUUCCAGCUUGGAUAGUAAAUUCUUCAUUACAAAAUUUAUUGUCCUUGAAUCUCAUGAAUUGUAAAAUUGCAGAUCAUACCGGCAAUUAGAAAAUGAUCACUGUUGGAAUCUCUUUGCAUUGAAGGAAUGGUUAGGGUGAAUAACAUUUGUGAAGCAAUUGGGAUCGCUUGGGAGCCUAAUGUCUGUCCCUUGGCUGAGAAUUUUGCAUUGUUCACAACUUGUACUUGUAUCAUUAGAGCCAGAGGAAGCAGAAGAGGAGUAUUUGCAACUCGACAGGCUUUGCAAGUUUGAAUGCCUAACAAUUACGAAAUGUGAAUGACUUCAAAGGCUACCAAAGGUCUCGCAUUUGGUCAUGUUCCUUGCAGAUAUACAGAUUGCCAGUGCCCAAGAAUGGUUUCUGUUUUAACGAAUGACCUACCUCCGACUUGAAGAAGAUUGACGAUUGAAGAUUGCAAGAAUUUACCAUGUUUGGUGGAUGAAGAAGAAGAUACUAGCAGAACUUCACCUCUCUCAAGGCAUUGACGUUGGUUGGCUGUUCAGCUGACAUAUCCUUUCUAGAAUAGGUUUUCCCUACCAACUUAGCAUCACUUGACAUCACAGCACCUGCAUAGACUCAGCUUUCUAAAAAACUGUCUAUUAAUGGUGAAGAAUGUCUAGAAGUGGUUUUGUUUCCACAAUAGGAGAUAGGAAUGAUACUGCCUCCCCCUCUCAGCGAUAUCACCAUAAUUUUGAAAACCUGAAAUAUCUAUUCUCCAAGGGCUUUCAAAGCCUCCCCAUCUGGUAGUCUUCAGAGAUCAGUGAUUUCUCUAAGCUCACAUCUCUUCCAUUAAGAGACAUGCUUCUCUUGCUUGGUCAUCUUCAGAUUGAUGAUUGUCCUUUGCUAGAAGAACGAUGCAAAAGGGAUAAAGGACAUAUCUUAUGUUCAAAUCAAUAAUGAACAAAAUUAUCCCAAAGAAGUUGAAAUCUCGAAAUUGAAAGCAAAAGGUAUUAAACCAUUUCAAAGAUAGGCCAGAUAAUUGAAUUCUGAUUAUCGUUCAUUUAAUUUUUGUUAGAUAUAUAACAUAAUAGUCAUUUUGAUAUGUUAUUGUUGAUAAUUAAUUUACAGCCACAUUUCAGGAUUGAAAGCUACAAAGUGUAGUUGGUAUAUAUAGCUCCAUUCAAAGAUCAGGUACAAGCUUCUCAUUUUUUUCCUAUUUCACUUGCAAUUAAACAUAGCAUGCUCAUCAAUCUGCAACAUUUAACCAUUAAAACACUUAUGCUUCUCUAACUUCAGAUAUCUCAAAAAACCUCUUGCCGUGAAUUUGCUGAUUCGUCAUUUAGACUUAUGAAACUGUUAAAAAGAUCAAGGAUGAAGGUGAGUUGAUUUUCCGCUGCUUUUAUAUGUCAUGUACAUUCCCAUUAAAAGAAAUGUCAUGUACAUUAAAGAAUGGAAAAGUGAUUGUUAGAGUACAUAAGCAGUUUCAUGGACAAAAUUGGGUUUUAAUUUGGUAAAUUACAUAUAUACUUGCCUUGUGAAAUUGUUAGUUGUUUAUACAGAAGCAUAUUUGUUUUGAUUUCAAGAGAUUUCCAUUUUGUUAAAGAAAAUCCAAGUCUCUCUUUCCUUUUCUAUGUUAUCAACUUUCUUUAUACCAUGCCAAUUAUGCUUCCCUUGAGUAUGUUGAACAGUGAACUAAUUUCUUUUCUUUUAGUAUUAUAAUGUUCUUGUAUUUAGUUUUUUGCUUUCUGAGUUCGUAGAGACAAUGUAGAGGAAGCAAAUAAAUUUCAUCCAUAAAAUUCUAAUGUUGUAUUGGAUUUUCCAUCUUAGAGGAGUGUGUCCCCACCAACUGAAUGUUACUUUGGAUCUCUGCUGCUAAAAUCUGUAUACCAUUAUUACAUCGGGGAGUGCGUAUACAAAUCUGUCAUGGACAACUUCCCAUUGGUGGUACUGAUGCAGCCGACCAACUUUCAAACUUUCCUUGUCAUCGGGAAGUUCCCAAUUUGGAAUAGUAGCACUACAAGAGCUUUCAGAACCUCUCCUUGCUCAAAGGUUUUUAUGCUUAAUUGCCUUGAUCUAUAAAAAAAAAGGGAUAAAAAAUGAAGUGGGUAAAGAUAUCUCCUGUGCCUCAUGUAUUAAUAACAGAUUACUUAUUAGUUAGAACAGGAACAGUGAAAACUAGUUGUUUUUCAUAGAAAAGGAGCGAAAAAGGCAGAACAAAUAUUGCUCGUAAAUUCAAUCCUUGUUAUGUCAAUGAGAAAAUCUUUUCUCCUUUUCCUCUUUGAACAAUUAAUUAAAACUUGUAUGAUCACCAAGUGUUGAUUUUCUUGUACAUACAGAAGUCUGAACAUGAUUAGGAAACACUGAGGAUGAAUUCAGCAUCCAGUUGUAAUCUAUUGGCCAUAAAAUCAAUGCAAUGCAGAGGUGAGCUUUUAUAUAUUGGACUACAUUAAGAUAAUAUGCCUCACCAAUGGAAACAAUCCCUCCUUCUAAAUGAUCUAUGCCUGUAUAAUUCUAUUUUUGUAUUCAAUUUCCAUUAGCAGUCACAUAUUAAUGUUUCCACACCCGCUGAAUAUUACUUAUUAGCCACAGAAGGGAAAAAGGGUGAAAAUUAUAGAAACUACCAUGCUUGUAGAUAUAUGGUAUGUCAAUUGGAAAAUCCUCCCUUUCUUUUUGCACUGUGAUCAUAGUUAAUUAAAGUUUAUAUAUUAACCAAGUAUUAGUCUAGUUGUACAUGCAGAAAUCUGAGCAUUAGUAGAAAGAACCAAUGAUGAAAUUUAACCUCCAGUUGUAAUCUAUUGACUAUAUAAUCAAUUCAAAGCAAAGGUGAGCUUUUAUUAGGCUACCUUAAGAUAAUAUGCCUCACCAAUGGAACAUCCCUUAUGCUAAAUAAUCUUAUGCAUAUCAAUUCCAAAGUUUCAGGUUGGAGCUAUUAGUUACUCAUCUUCAUUCUCAAAACUGUGACCCUCAUUCACAAUAGGUUUAAGCAGAUGAUCCCUGAUUGAAACUAAAUCGCAUUUCUCAAGUAUUGUGUAGAAUUAUUUUUUCACACCAGAACUGUUUUACAACUUGGCACACAGAGAUGCAAAGAGCUCAUGUAACAGCUUCCAUGGCUCUUCAUGCCCCACUUUUUCUGCUUCUAAUAUUAAACAUUUACCAUACCCUGCAUGUUGGUUCUUCAGCCUUCAGCACUCAUCUCUCUUUGUCAAUCCCAGUGAAUCUUCAAUGCCUCCACAUGAAGCAAAAUGUGUCACUAGUGGCAGCACCCGGUAACAUACAUCGUUGCAACAUGUCACCACCAAAAGAGCGAUUGAUGUCAUUGACAGUCAAGGUUUUCUUUUCUAAUACUAUGAAUCAGUUGGGUAAGAGUAAGUUUUUAGAAAAUUUGCUUCAUUUAUCAUUUCUCUUUGCAAAAAAACUUGUUAAAAUUCAUCAGUAGUAUCAUGACUAAUAGAUUCACACCGAUCCUGUAAUAAAUUUCAUAGAUAGACUUUGUAAUGUGCCAUACACUAGUUGAGCUUUCAGUUUUCUUUUUUCUUUUUCAUUAUUAUGCUCUUUAAAGUUUGUAUACUAUUGCAUUGGACCUUCAGAAAGGAUUAAUUUUCUUGUGCUUUUGAAUUGAGAUUAUGAGAUGUAUAAUAGAUUCAAGCUAAAUGUUAAUCUCUUUUUCCUACUCUUCCUCCUUUCUCCGUGUCCUCUUCUUUGGCAAAUAAAGAGAUCCACCAGAGUUCAAUACAAGAAAGGAACUGAAAAUUUUUAUGGCUUUCCUCUGAUGAUGUUAAGCCAUAAGCUUCCACCCAUUGCAGCAUGAGCAGGCCUUAAAUCUUCUUUUCUUGCUGAUAGCAAUCUAACUUCUCUGUUACUUGACUGUGGCCAUGCUUAAAAUUUCUGCAGAUGAAAACACAUUUUUUCCUUUUGUUGGAUAUGUGCAGUGCAUGCCUUCAUUUUUUCAGAAGGUGUUUGUCUUUGUUAUCAAUUGGGCCAAAAAGGAGUGUUACAAUGGUAGACGAUAGUUUUUACACAAGAGUUCUACCAAUGUUUUUCUCUGUUGGUGCCUCAUCCUUAGUUCCUUGUAAGUCUCACGAAUGGCUGGGAAUAGGUAUGUUGUUUUAUUGUUUUUUGACUAAAAUUGCAACUCGAUGUCAUAGCCUUGCCCCUGAGAUAGAAUGUUACACAAGGGUUCCACAUUCUGAAGCCAUCCUUUUGUGAAACUUCAUGCGCAGCAUCAACGGUGCAUAAAAGAUAUUAAAAAAUAUAAAUAGGGUCACAAACUCCGACAUUUUGAAGCCCUUUUUCUUCUAGUGCAUGCCAGAACCAAAGAAGCUGAAGAUCAAGUUUCCUACUAGUUUAGUGUCAAUUUUUUAUGUUAAUAGUUAUUCUGUUUUUUCUUCUUGGUAUUUUGCAUACAUUCAUUAUUAUUGACAAUUUAUUAUUGGGAAUUACUCAUGUGUGUUCUGGCUGUUUUCAUAAUAGCUCCAGCUUCCAAAAUGUGAAAUUGAAAAGCAAACUGCUUCAAAUUGUUCGUAUUUGCAGUUUUGUAAAACUUCUUUUUUCUUUUAAUUCCUUUUGUGCUUCAGCAUUUAUAGGUUCUUUUGGCUGUUUUGAAUGGGACUGAGCUGAUGGAGGCUGUCAUAAUGAUAUACCUAUUGAGGAGAUCAAAGCCAAUGUGGCAGGAUUCUGUCAAGAAGAGGCUUUGCUUCGAUGCCUGUGACAGUGCCAAGAUUGUUGCUGAUGCUGUUAUCUCUGAUUUCAAUGAAGUCCUGGAGGCUGUAAGUGCCUCUCUCUAUUUUCAUGUUACUUGUGUUUCUAAUCCCAUUUUUUGUUGUUUGAGCUUGGGAUUUACUUCUUUUAUAGUUUUCCUUUAAUUAUGUUGGUAAAACAGUUCCUUUUUUAUGUUUCAUAGCUCUUUUCUUUCUUAUUUUGCUUGAAUUUGAAAUUUAGACCGAUGGAUUUUUUCAACCUGAUAUUUUUUUGUGAAAGAAAUGUCAAUAUUAUAUAAAGAAAAUAGGAUUUGAAAGUUUGCAUCAUGAACAUGGAUAACGGAUGUGGGCAUGAUAACUUGUCAAGUCACCAUUAUAAAAUUCUUGAAAACAUCGUGAUUUGUGACCAGGCUGCCAUUGUUGGGAUUUUUGUUAUUGUGGAUUAUGGUGAUGAUUAAAGUCAUAACUAUGGCAAUUUUUUCCAUUAGGUUGCUCGUUAUCCAUCAUUUUAUGGAGCAAUUGAUGGGUUGUGCAACAACUACUGAGGCAAGACUAAAGCAGAAUGGAUUGUUGUGACAAAUUAUUGACCUGGCACUAACGUGGAGUUUUCUGCAGCACUAAUUCAUGGGAUAUAAAACACUGAUGAAGUCUCUAGGCCACUUGUACCUACUUUCACUGCAUUAUUUUUCUUAUACAUUCUUUUGGGGAAAUGAAAAGGGGGUGAGAGGGGGGAUGCUAAUUGGUAUAUCAAUAAAGUUUAUCACUGUUUGCUACAGGAUACUUAUUUGCGUUCAGGUGAUGCGUCCUAACCAGGUAAUGGGUAUGCAAUCAGGGAGCUAAUCUCUACGAUCCAAACACAGAAAUUCAAUUAUAGCCAACUGGUGAGAUUUUUGCUUUGCUUUAUGAUUUUUACUUGAACGUUUCAUAUAUAGUUCACAUAUCUGUCUUAUUUCUAAAACUUGUCUCCAAGUAUAUUUACUUGCAUCUAGAUAAUAUCAGCAGAAUUUUAGAACUCAUCUGAGUUUCAAAAUGUACUAGUUUUAACUGUGUCUUACUGUAUGCAACAAAUAAUAAGAUAACAUAAUGGGGGAUUCUUGGAAAAGUGAAGUAUCCUUUAGAUAUAUUUAUUAUUAUUUGAUGACAAAUGUCUGAAAAGAUUUGAUUUUAUUUACUUUUUGUUUAUAGGUCCUGAGAAAGGGAAAUGAGUGCCAAUAGUAAAAUUACCAAAAGAUAUUUGCAGAACCUGAGGUCUCUCAAUCGGCAAGGUAGGCAGCACCUCAUUCAGUUCCCUAUCUAAAUAUAACUGUUAAUUAAAUUUUAAUUUUAAUGCUUGAAAAUGCAGGAUGAUAAGAAGUUACUGACCUUUCUUGGGAUGUAGACUGAAUUCUGCUUUGGGUUUGUAGGGAUCAUUUGUGUGUUCAUCACUGCUACUGCCACCACUGCUGCUGCUACUUUCCCUUUUUUUUCUUAGGUUACUCAGGUCUCUCUUAUUUUCCUAUUUAAUGUAAUUAUAUGUAAUCGAUGCAUUACAUCAUAAGUCCAGGAAGAGUCAUGUCUAAACUGUAACCACAACAAUAUUCUGAUUAUGGCAGGUUCAUAUACUUAGGCAUGCCUCUUUCGCCUGAACACUGUUUAGGACCCUGGUGUCAAGAGGUUGAGGAGGAUGGCAAUCAUUUUCUAUAUUUAUGUCAAUGUUCUUGGAGUUCCGGAGCAAGUUACUUUCUCCGACGAUGCUAUUUUGGUCUCAUCCCCUUUGCAUCAAAUUCCUCUUGCAAUGCUUCAGAGCCUUUUCUGGAUUACUCAGGUGGUUUGCUUCCUAUUCUGCUGCUUCUCCAUGGCUAGUAAGAUAUGAGGUUGGCUUUAAUGAGAAAAGGUGGUGGGUGAAUGAGAUUAUUUUUCUUAAUAAGCUUUGUUCUCUACAUUGGCUUAGAGCUUUGGCUGAUGGCAUCUUGUUUUUGGACUAAGAUUCUGUAGCUUUAAGGAGACUUGGUGAAGUCUCCUUUGGUAAAAUCUGUUGGGAUGUUAAUGGCCUUGCUGACUCUUUAGUGUAUAGAACUGAUAUGUUAAUGGCUUGGUGGUUAUACUCAGUCGCUCUGAUAUUUGGUGCAAGUUUUUCGGGAGGCUGUUAAAUUAUCUCCACCCUUUGGGCACCAUUGUACUAGGCCUGUUAUUAGAGCUUUUAUGGUGUGUACAUUUUUACUCUUUUGGGUGUUAUUUUAGUCCGGUGAGACUGCUUCUUAUCCGUGUCCCAGGUGUUGUAUUUUUUCUUUCAGCUUUCAGUAACAUCUAACCACAACAGAGAUGCAAAAUUGGUGUAGCAAACCAUUGUUUGAAGCAUGUUGCCCUGUCAAAUUUAUCAUCUGUUGAUUGCCAAUGGCAUACAGAAGAAUUGAACAGUUAUUUGAUAAAUAAGAUUCAAUGUUUGUAUUCUUGGAUAUUUGGAACUGUAUGUGCAGGGUUGAAGGACCAACCGACAAUGACCAGAGCUUUAUUUAACAAAAAGAAUACCAAAUAAUUGUCUCUAGAGUGGUUAGUAAGGAUAUUAUAGUUGUUGUCCCAGUGGUCACAAAAACUGAGUCCUUCAUGAAGGAAAAUUGAUGGUGGAUAAGGCAAUUUAUGGGUGGUGCCAAACAAAUUGUUCAGAGGAUCUAAUCUAACAACAAUAAUCCAAUAUAUAAGAACAAGUCCUGCUGCCACAAGAAUAAUGUGUAGAGUACAUCACAAGAGUCCAGUUAUUAAGUUUUUAUGUUUUACACACUGAUUGCAUGCUUCAUUCCUUAAGAACGAGAGAAACCAAGAACAUGUAGCGGGCUAACAGCUCCAAAUGCUUACUCAAGAAAGCACUUGGAAAGCCUUCUCUCUGCCUCUUUAGAUGCAUUAGGCACAUUUUUACAAGGCAGUAAGUGUCUUUUUACUAUUACCUUUGGUUAGAUGGAGGUUCUUAUUCUCAUUUGCAUGACGGUGUUUUAUAGUUCCAGGAAAUACCAGUUCAUAAAGGUUUAACAGAAAUAAUUUAGAAACUUUCUUCUUUCCCGUUUUAGAAAGAGUGGGAGAUGCAAUUGAAGUUAUAUAAGAAUAAAGCUACGAGCCUAAGGCAACCUCUCCAUUCUGCAGCCCGCCUCCUUCCCAACCCAACAACAAAUAGUAAAACUUGAACGUUAAACUGAUCUUCCUCUUGCUUUGAAGUGCAGAUCUUCUGAUAGUCCUUUUCAUGAACUUGCCACUGUAGGAUCAAGUACUUAUAGGCACUAUGUCACAGGAUUUAUAGCCCAAACUAGAAUUUUCACUCCUUUUUUUUUUUUGGGUCGAGUUCUCACACCAGUUGGGUUCCUGGCCACAAGUUUAACAGUAUCUAGAAUAAACCGUACCAUAUCUGUCAGCCAUAAGGUUAAGGCCUAGAAUUUUCGCUUAUAGUAUACAUGCUCAAUUUUGUUUUUAACGUGUUAAUAAACUUAAGACAUAACAAAUCAACCUUCAUUUCGUCUUAAAACCAAUUCAGCAAUCAUCUCUUAUGGUAUGAUGUAUAAUUAAUGUACCAUGCCAUUGCAGAACUUGGAACACCUCUUCCUGAGGAUGCUUCCACUGUCACUGAUCAACCUUCAAUGUUGAUACUUGAUAAGCGCUGGAAAUGGUGGGUUCUUGUGGUAAUCAGCAUCGCCUAUCCCUUGCUUGGUCAGUCCAAACAAACAAAUUCUAUUUCAAUCAUGUUAUAAUAAACACUUCAACUUAAUCAAUAAUGGAGUCAACUAUUUUAUAAAAUUCGUAAUAAUUAAUCAAUGUUAUAUUUUGACGAGAUUUCGAUAAUAUCUUAAUAAAUUUUUAUUCGAUUAAACUUAAAUUUAUUGAAGAUUUCUAAUCAAGCUUUUUACAGAAAAUAUUAAAUGAAUGUCUCAUGAAUCAUGAUGAAACUAAUUAAUAAGUGAUUGGUAUGAUGAAGUUGUAAUUUCGUUCGUUUUUUUCUUUAAAUUUGUUUUUGGGUGAUAUCAAGUUUUUGAUAGUUUUAAUAGCUAAGUUAUAUAGCUUGCACUUUUCAUUAAUUAUAACUUGCCUUUGUUGAAGGAGUUUUCUUUUCUUUAUUUGAAAAAAAGUUUGAGAAAUUAUUGAACAUAAACUAUUUUAGCGCCAUAUUUUUUAAUUUAUUUAAAAAAUUGUCAAAUAUAAAUAGUAAAAGGAUAUUUCACUAAAAAAAUAAAGGUACAUUUUACAAAAUACUUUAAUUUGACUAUUUUUAAACUAAAUUUAAAAUAUUGAUAAAAUUAUAUUUGUUUAAAUAUGAAUAGUAAUUAUCAGCAAAAAUCUAUUAAUUACUCACUCGACUUACAAUUGCGGUAGUCCACAAAACCUAAACAUGAAAAUUUUAUCAUAUGCUAAUAACAUCAUAAUGUUUUGGAUGAUGCAAAUAUAUUGUUUAACAUCAUAAUGUCAACACAUUUAUUAUAAUUCUAUUAAUUAGGUAUUUGUUUAUUGCCAAAUAUUUCUUCUAUUAGGUUUGCUUGUACAGUCCAUUGGUAUUUAAUUUUUUGGAAUUUAAAAUAUAUUCUUUUAAACUGUCUUAUAAAUCGAUUGUCAUAUUUUCUUACAAAAAAUAAAUAUUAAUAAAAUGUUGUUCAUUAUUUCCAUACUAUUUGUGAAUAGUAGUCAAAUAGUUAAAAUCAAAUAAAGUAGCAUUAUUUUUUAAAAAACAAAAUUCGCAAAUGAUGGAACUUGAUUUUGAAGCCAAAAGAUUUUAAAAUAUCUUUCUAUGACAAAGACUAAAACUCAUUCACUUAUAUAUUCUAUUUUAAUUUGCAGUAGGAUAUAAAAAAAUUCCUUAUUACUAUAACCACUCAAAAAUGUGAAUUUUUUUUUAGAAUUGAAAAAAAUGAAUUUAAACUUUACACUUUAAAUAAAGAGAUCAUAUACCAAUCAAUUAACAAAAUACCUGAGUACAAAAAAAAUGUGAUUAAUAUACCUAACAUUUCUUUAUGAAACUAUUUGCAGUAUAUACUUAUACCAACAGGAAGGAAUUUUUUUUAGAAAAAAGAAUCCCAAAAGAAAAUUCACAAUUAUUCUACAUACUAACAUUAAAGUUUUUAAACUAUACAAAGAAAUUAAAAAAUUGUCUAAUGUUUGAUUAGAGUAUGUUUAUUGAAAUUAAUAAAUUGUUAUAAUAACUAAAUAAAUAUGUUAUAUAUAAAAUAAUAAUUUGCCAAAAAAAAGAGGACCUACUAUUAAAUCAAAAUUUGAACCAAAAUGAACCCACCCCACUAGCUUGGUUAAUGCCCAUUUACCUUUAUUUUCCAUGGCAGUCUAAAUUUUUGGCAAAAAGGCUUACCUUUCACGUUAUCUCUUUGAUUGUACCAAAGAUUAAUUUUUUUAAUGUUUCCUUUGGCAUUCUCCAAAACCAUGCGGGUUCCAUCCACGGAGAAGAAUUACUUAACCAAGUAAAAAAAAAAUGAAAGAAAGAUAUUUAAAGAAAUUUUGAUAAAAUAAAAUAAAUUGCAAAUAUCAUUUUAUUUUGUUGAAGUAUUUUGAAGCACAAAAUUGAGAAAGACCAAUAAUUAAAUAAGCUUUGAUUGAUUUAUUUGAUAAUAAUGAAAUCUGUGAAUGCAAAAGGCUAAAAUUAAGUACGGAAAUGCUUCAUUUGAAGGACAGAGUAAGGAAAGAAGAAGCGAGUAAAACCAUGGAAAGAUAUAGUAAAAUUAAGAGAGCAACGAAUGAAGGGAUUAAUGAAUACUUCAGUACUCACCUAAUGACUUGUGAAUUUGUCUAAUAAAUUUUUAACUGUUUCCAAAAGGAGAGGAUUAAGAGUUGUGAUCAUGGAAGUGUUGGAACACGUAGCCUUACCCUUUCUACAACUUGGGUUUGCCUUUAUUCAAGGCAGAAACAAAUCCAUUUGACUCAUGCAUGAAGAACAAGAACAUGAUUCAAAACACUAACGUGGCCAUACUGACCUACACUACCCUAAAUAGUCCAAUUCCCCAAAAGUAGGAAUUAGCUUUCGAUGACUCCUUUAGGGAUGGUAAUGAGUACUUGAUUAUAGGAUACUUGUGAGUAUCCGAUCCGAUUAUAUAAAAUUAAGAUAUCUUAUAAUACAAGUUUAUAAAUAAAUAAAUAAAUUUAUAGUUAAUAUUAAAUUAUUAUGAUUAUGAUUUGUUUACGUAUAUAUAAUAAAUUAAUAUAUUUUAAAUAUAUUAUUAAUUAAAUUUACUAUUAAUUCGUCAUGAUAUAUAUAAAAAAUAUUUUUUAUAUAUUAAUAUAUAUAAAAUAAUUUAAUUUUUUAAAUGAAUUGAUCUAAAAGUUUUAAAAUCGAAAAUCGAUCAAAAAUUUAAUUGAAUUAAAUUUUUUGACUAAACAACUCAAUAGAUCAAUUACAUUGAACUAUUUUACUUAAAUUACAUUUAAUUUAAAUGAUUAAUUACUCGGAUUUGAUUUUAAUCACUUCUGAAUUUCGUACAAAGGGAUGCCCCGGAGGAAAGGCUCAAUGAUUACAGUAACAGCAGUAGGCAACCAUCUUUACCCGUCACUUAUAAAUAAUUUCGACACGUGGCAUCAUAAUACACCGACCGCCACAUAUGCAUAUGACGUGGCCCCUCAAAAUUCACGAGGAAAUAGCCGCAGCUCCACCCGAAGGUGGAGUUGACAUGCGCCAAAACUUAAAAUGUCAAAGAAAGCGUACAGACAUAAAGCGAGUUUGGUCGUUUCUCAGAUAUAUGCUAACCUGUGUGAAAAUGUUGAAUGAAUAAAUGAGCACUGUCUUCAAGCUGGCUGUUUCCUGUUCACUUUUUGGUUGUCUGUUUUACUUUCAGUUCCGGGUCCAACUGGUAUUCCAUUUAGAAGAUUGUUCAAGCUUCUAAGCUCCAAGAUUUCUGCUUCUUUACUUACCAGGAGUCUUCCUGGCAACUGGCAAGUUAGUGUUAGUUCACAUUUUCCAUCUUUGUAUCAUCACAUUUCACUUUUAUUUUGCUUAGUUUAACAAAUGAUUUAUAGCUAGAGCUUGGUUUGUUGAUUCUUUGUGCUAGGGUCAGAGCUCCAGUGGAUUUUUCAUUGCCAUGUUCCAAAUUUGCUAUCUUCUUGCUUCUUUCUUAUGUUUGAAAAGAUAGGUGAGAGAGAGAGUUUGAACACAAUAAUUCAACACAAUAUUUCAAAGUUACUGUGUAAGAGUUGAUUUGAAAGUUUGGUAGCCAGCUAGCUACUAAUAAUUGGGAGAUGUUGCUGGUGAAGAUGUAUUUCGAUGGUUGAACUGGGAUUUUUAGUCUGAAACUCAUUUUAUCUUCUUAAUGCACCUUGGUUACUGUCUAUGGUGGGUUUCAAAAGUUAAGUUUACAACUUCCAACAGUAGUGUGUGCUUUAAGAAAUGUGUCAAUGGUAGCUAUUUGUUGUUUGUUCCCUGAUUCUGCAGAUAAAAUUUCUAUUCUGUUUAGAUGAUUGACAUCUCAAGAGAAGUGACUGUUACUUGUGUGAUGCUAAACCAAACAAUUUUCAAGUUGGUUAAUUCGCACCUUGCUUUGCAGAAAUAAAUGGCAUAUGAUCUGGGCAUAGCAUUUUACAUCACCAUAUGCUGCAUUGCCUUUAUUAUAUCGAAGAUCAUUCUUUGGAUUCUCCUUUAUAAGCGAUGGAAAAGAAAGACGAUGAUUUAUGAGGAAGGUUUCUCAGGUAUUGAACCUUCUAAAUGAUGACUUUUUUUUCCUAUAAUUUGACUUCUGAUGGAGGCAAAAAUGAUGCUUUUCCAACUUGGUAGCUUCUGGCAUAUGCAUGAAUGCAGGAGGGAAGAUGGUGAUGUUUAGGUCUCCAGUGUUGCAGUCUGUCUCAUCUGAUGUGUUGUUAAAGAAGACAUUGAAGUUAAGCAACAAAGACAUCAUUGGUGCUGGAGGGUAUGGUACAGUUUACAAAUUAAUUAUAAGUGAUACCAUGGCCUUUUCCGUGAAAAGGCUAAAUAGAGGAACUGAAGAUAGAGAUAAAGGAUUUGAGAGAGAAUUGGAAGCAAUGGGGGAUAUCAAGCACCGCAACAUUGUAACUCUGUACGGAUACUACAGCGCCCCUCACUACAAUCUUCUGAUAUAUGAGCUAAUGCCUAAUGGAAGUUUGGAUGCUUUUCUGCGUGGUAUGCACAUUUUUUCUUCAAAUACUAGGUUUAUCUUCAAGUUUUCAGCAUCCAUAUUUGUCAAAGUUAAGAGGGUCGAUAAUUUUUCUUAUUUUUUUGAAGAAAAGAGGGCAAAAUUUCAAAACUAUCAAAAUUCCAGAAUGUUGGAUUUUGUUGGAAGUUCAAAGAUCAGACUUGAUGCCCGAAGCAGAAGAUCAAAAGUUGCUGAUAGAUUAAUCUGUGAUGCAGGGAAAUCAAUGGACAGUAAGGUUUUGGAUUGGCCAACAAGAUAUAAAAUAGCAUUAGGUGCUGCAAGAGGAAUAGCAUACCUUCACCAUGAUUGUAUCCCCCAUAUAAUCCACAGAGAUAUCAAGUCAAGCAAUAUAUUACUGGAUCAGAACAUGGACGCUCGAGUCUCAGAUUUCGGACUUGCCACAUUGAUGGAGCCAGACAAGACUCAUGUUUCAACAUUUGUGGCUGGAACCUUUGGAUAUUUAGCCCCAGGUACGACGAACAAAAUUACAGUCAUUCUUUUCAUCUAGUUUUUGACUGUUUAACAACUAAACUUUGUUCUUCUGCAGAAUAUUUUGAUACAGGAAGAGCAACAGCAAAGGGCGAUGUUUACAGCUUUGGAGUUGUUUUACUAGAGCUUUUAACAGGAAAAAAGCCAACAGAUGAAGCGUUUCUGGAGGAGGGAACAAAACUUGUUACAUGGGUAAGUUCUCCAAUAUCAUGAACAUUUAAUUUGACAUAAUUGUCCAUUACUUGAUAAUGCCUACCUCCAUUUAAAUGUCCAAUAAACUGGUGAAAUUAUCUCUUCCAGUCAUUGGUUAAAAAGAGUUCAUAAAAUUCUUGUUAUUUUUAUCUGUAUGCUAUUCAUCAGAGGCAUUUUCUUCUGUGUCAACUGUCAAGUACAUAUUGGCUAAAGAUUCAUAGAAAAUAGUUGGAAGAGUUUCUGAUGUUCUGUUUCAUUACCAUCUUGAACAGGUAAAGGGAGUUGUUGAAGAAAGGAGGGAAGAAUAUGUGCUUGACAGUAGCUUAGGUUCUUGUCCCGUGGAUGAGAUUAACAAUGCUUUCAAUGUAGCAUUAAUGUGCCUUGAAACAGAACAAACUGUCUUACAUACCUCUCCUGAUUUCCUCAACUUUGUCACUGAAAAGCAAGAGUGCUUUUUAAAUAAUAUCAUGCAUAAUUUUGUUGAUUUUAUAAUUUCAUAUAGGGUUAGAAAAUUACAAUUUGGAUUAAAUAAGAAUUCAUAAUCGAUACAUUGGGUCUAUUACUUUUAUAAGCUAUUUUUAUAGAUUACAACUAGGUAGUCAAAUCAUUAAAAUUAACAUUUAUUAAAUGAAGAUAAAAAAAUAAAUAAGGAAGCAAGCUGUUAUUUGAGAUCAUUCAGCCUAACAUAUAUGCCUGUUUCAUCCGAGCAUUUCAUGCAUGAAUACUUUUCAUUUUUUAAUGAAAGUAGUAAUACAAUAUUUAUAUUGCUCUACAACUCUUACGUAAAUAAACCAAUAUUUUCAUUGACAGAAAUAUUACAUUUGGUUAUUUUUCUACAUUUCUAUUUCUUAAUUCUUUUAUUGGAUUAUUAUUCAAUGCAUAGCAGUUUAUAUAUCUAUAUAUAUAUAUAUUAUAUUAUUUUAUUUUAUUUUAAAAAAUAAUUAUUUAAUUAUUAAAUAAACAUACAAAAAUUUUAAACUUACCUGUAGAAUUAAAAAAAUUCACAAUCAAUAUACAAAAUAAUAAUCUAUUUUUUCAUAAAACCAAACAAACUCAUCAUUUUAAUUUUUUCAUUCUCUUUUUUUUUUUUUUUUUGCUGUAUUUUUAUACUUGUAGGUUUACUCACAUUUUUCAGGUACUUAAAUUUAUUUAUCAUAUGAAUAAUUUUAAAACGUUUUUUAUUAGAAAAUAAAUAUAGCUAGGGUUUGGGAAAGUAAGAGGCAAGCAGCAUGGUUUAGGAAAGAUAGCAACCAAAAAAAAUAUUAUCUGGCUUAGGGUAUCCUCGAAAUCUACCUAAAGCCAAGUUGAGUAUUAAAAAGUUUAUUCAAACUCUAUUCAUUACCGAAUAGAGGGUAUCCCAAUCUUAUGUUAUCAAGUCAAAUACGUGUGGAUACUAUAUAAUAGUUACCUGUUACAUCCUAAGUUAGACUUCACAAUUUCUUUAGGAAACAAUUUGUUGUAUGUACUUGUACCAAAAAGAAUAAACAAGCUAUUUUACUAUAAAUAACAAUAGGACCACUACAGCAAAAUAGAAAACUAAAAAAAGGGAAAAUUGAGAAUAUCAAUAAUUAAAUAAGCUUUGAUUGAUUUAUUUGAUAAUAAUGAAAUCUGUCAAUACCAAAAGGCUGAAAUUAAGUAAGGAAAUGCUUCAUUUGAAGGAGAGAGUAAGGAAAGAAGAAGCCAGGAAAGCCCUGGAAAGAUGUAGCAAAAUUAAGAGAGCAAUGAAUGAAGGGAUUAAUGAAUACUUCAGUAGUCACCUAAUGACUUGUGAAUUUGUCUACUAAAUUUUUAAUUGUUUCCAAAAGGAGAGGAGUAAUAGUUGUGAUGCAAGUGUUGGAACACAUAGCCUUACUCUUUCUUCAACUUGGUUUUGCCUUUAUUCACUGCAGAAACAAAUCCAUUUCGCUCAUGCAUGCAGAACAAGAACAUGAUUCAAAACACUAACAUGGCUAUACUGACCUUCACCACCCUAAAUAGUCCAAUUCCCCCAAAGAAGAAGAAUCCUUUAUAGCAUGUUUGGUUGGGGGAAUGGCUAAGCCAUUCCCCCUUUAUUCCCAAGGAAUUUUUAUUCCUUUGUUUGGUUGAAAAAUAAUCCAAGGAAUAGCCAUUCCUAUGGAAUGACUAUUCUUAAAAAUCCUUCAAAACCAAGGAAUAGCUAAUACCAUCCUCUCCCAUGGUAUUAGCUAUUCCAUGAUUGAGGAAUAAAUUUAAAAAUUAAUAAAGACAAAAAUACCCCUUACAAGUUUGAAAAUUUACAACUUUAUUAGUAUAAAAUAUUAUUUUUCUCUCUCUUCUCUUUCUCUCACUUGAUUUCAAUUUUUAAUAAAAUAUUAAUUUUUUUAAAAUAUUAAUAUUAAAUUAUAAUAAAUAUUAAUAUUUAAAAUUAAUNNNNNNNNNNNNNNNNNNNNNNNNNNNNNNNNNNNNNNNNNNNNNNNNNNNNNNNNNNNNNNNNNNNNNNNNNNNNNNNNNNNNNNNNNNNNNNNNNNNNNNNNNNNNNNNNNNNNNNNNNNNNNNNNNNNNNNNNNNNNNNNNNNNNNNNNNNNNNNNNNNNNNNNNNNNNNNNNNNNNNNNNNNNNNNNNNNNNNNNNNNNNNNNNNNNNNNNNNNNNNNNNNNNNNNNNNNNNNNNNNNNNNNNNNNNNNNNNNNNNNNNNNNNNNNNNNNNNNNNNNNNNNNNNNNNNNNNNNNNNNNNNNNNNNNNNNNNNNNNNNNNNNNNNNNNNNNNNNNNNNNNNNNNNNNNNNNNNNNNNNNNNNNNNNNNNNNNNNNNNNNNUAAAUAAAAUAUUAAUAUUUUUAAAAAUAAAUAAAUAUUAAUAUUGAAAUUAUCAAUUAUUAAUAUUUUAAAUAAAUUAUCAAUUAUUAAUAUUUUAAAAAUAAAAUAAAAUAAAAAAUUAAUCAUAAUAAUAUUUAAAUUAAAUAAAUGUUAAUAUUUAAAUGAUUUAUUAUUAAUAUUUUAAUUAAAUUCUAGAUUAUUAAUAUUUAAAAAAUCUAAUAAAAUAAAAUGUCAUAUAAAUAAUAAAGGAUGUUUUUGUCUUUUUAUUUUCUAUUCUUUUCUUAUUCCCAAAUUAUUGUUACCAACCAAACACUACAAUAAGUCAUAAUAAUUAUUCCUGUUCUAUUCUUUUUGUCAUACCAAACUAAGUAAUAACUAUUCUAUUCUAUUCCCACCUCAUUCAAUUCCCACAUAAUAACUAUUCUAUUCCAUUCCUGUCUAUUUCGCCAAUCAAACGUACCAUUAGAGUUCGAUGACUGCUUUAUUGAAAGUAGGAAUUUGCUUUCGGUUACUCAUGGCCAGUUUUUUCCUUGUCUUUUUCGAUCGGAACUGCUGCCUCCAACAAACUACAUGGGGUCUUUCUUCGAAAGAGAAUUCGACGACUCCAAGUCAAUACCCAACUCAAUUAUUAAGCUACCCUCACAAACUUCUUUAACCUUCACACAACAAAAAUACAUCUCUUUUCCACGUACUUCAAUCUCCAUUUUGAUUUCUCUCUUUCUUGCUUGAGCAUAACAAUCAUGUCUUUUGUUUGGGAGGCUGCUCUCACAGCUUUCUUUGAUGUGUUGUUUGGCAAGUUAUCCUCUUCUGAUUUCCUCGACUUUGUCACUAAAAAGCAGGUCCGCAAGGAGCUCAACGAGUGGGAAACGAUGCUGCGGGAUAUCCGUGCCGUGCUUGAUGAUGCAGAGGGGAAGCAGAUGAAGGAUCAGUCUGUGAAGAACUGGUUGGCCGAGCUUCAAGACUUGGCUUACGAUGUUGAUGACAUUUUGGACGAGUUUGCCACUGAAGCUUUAGGGCGCAAGCUGACAUCCUUGGAGGAACCUCAAGGCAUCAAAAAUAAGGUACAAAAGAUCAUUCCUACUCGUUUAUUCUUUCCAAAAACUUUCAUGUUUAAUAAGAAGAUGAUACACAAGAUUAAAGAGAUCAGUGCUAGAAUGAAUCGUUUGGCCACAAAAAGAACUCACUUGGGAUUGGGAGGCAUUAAUGAGGGAGCAAGGCCCAACAUAAUGACACAAAGUCAGCCUACUUCUGUGGUGGAUGAAACUAAGGUGUACGGCAGGCAAGAAGAAAAGGCAGCAUUACUUGAAUUGCUUUUGAGCAAUGAUGGCACUGGCAAUGAAGCUUCUGUGAUUCCCAUCAUUGGCAUGGGAGGAAUUGGCAAGACAACUCUUGCACAACUUCUCUACAAUGAUACUCGUAUAGAGAAUUCUUUCGAGUACAAGGCGUGGGUAUGCGUUUCCGAAGAUUUUGAUGCCGUUAGCAUAACAAAGAGAAUUCUACGGUCAAUCAAUCGUGGUUGUUGUACCGAUGAUAAUGAUCUCAAUUUACUUCAAGUUGAGUUGAAGAAGAUGCUGGCUGGGAAAAAGCUUUUGCUUGUCCUGGAUGAUAUCUGGAACGAGAAUUAUCUGGAGUUGACCAACCUACUUUCUCCAUUUGGAGUUGGAACCAAAAUUCUCGUCACAACACGGAGUCACAAUGUUUCUUCUAUUAUGGGCACUGUUAAAGCUUACCCACUACAACAGUUAUCAGAGGAGGAUUGUCUAUCUGUAUUUACUCGACAUGCAUUAAGAGCAAAUGAUUUUAGUGGGCAUCCUGAAUUAAAAGAAGUUGGGGAAAUUAUAGUGAAAAAGUGCAAAGGCUUACCUUUGGCAGCUAAAGCCAUUGGUGGUUUACUACGCACUAGCCUGGACUAUGAGGCAUGGAAAGGUAUAUCAGAGAGUGAGAUAUGGGGCAUACCAG